GGCCCUUCAGGACCAACGUCACCUGUCCACUCACCCUUUGCCUUGGCUCCUUUGUGCUCCUGUGUCACUUCCGGCCUGGCCAUACAGGGCUUCCUUAGCUGAGAACCCAUGUUUGCCCACCUGAGAGGCCGACUAUACUCCUCCUAUCUCCAUCCCCCUCCAGCUCCAAGCACAGCCAUGAUUCAUGCUUCCUGAAAGGGCCUUCCUCUGAUAUACUGCUGGCCACCGCCAGUCUCACUCUUUCUAAUGCUCACUCUCUGCCCUUCUUAAUUGAGGCUCCUGGGGACAAGGCCAGCUACUUCGUCUCUUGGACCCCAUGCUGUGCACAACCUAGGCACUCUGUCUGCUUCACAGGAGAUGCCCAGAGAAGAUGGUCGGUGUGGAAAUUCAGUGCCUGUUUCUGUCAUAGCCAUUGUGAAUUGGAAGUCUGCAAUGCUUCGAAGCCAGUGAGAGCUGAACGUGCAAAUCUGAAGUCCCUCUUCAAUUAACGCUGAACCAUUAGUCUUUCCUGAAGCUGCCAGGAUCUAUUAAGCCAUUUAAUGCAACCUCCCGCCCUUCAGGAUCGCUCCCAGGAGUCUUUUUCUCAGGCCUGGGCCGUCAGAGCAUAAAUGACUUAAGUGGCCCGAGAAGCUGAGAACGAGGCAGCUGCUCAGUGCACAAGCCCAGGUACUUGAGCAGUUCCAGUCUAGCACCACAAUCCCAGACAGGCCUGGAGAGCCGCUGGCCUUCUGUCCACAAUGGAAGGACUGGUUCUAAGAGCAUCAAAGGCAACAACAACAGAAGCAACGGUAAACGAACUCAGUAUCCGGAGCGGAGGCCGAGCAGCAAGAGGGAAGGAAGGUCAAGCAAGCAGAAGGUCAGAGAACUGAGGCUUUCCAGUUCAUCUAAGGAAGCACCUCAGACUGCAGCUUCAGCAGUGUCUUUUAUGGUUGUGAAGUCGUUGUGAAGUCGACUUCCUACUUCGAUGUCUUGUACCCAUCUCUUAAAGGGCCACUCCCAGCUGCAGGUAAGGGAAUGUCCUUUGGGUGUUUCUACUUCUCCUUUGCUUCCUGUUUCACAGUCAGUUCCUAAUCCAUAACAAAACAACGCACCUAAUCCCAGCUGUGGUAACUGAAUAUUUUCAUAGUCAGUUGCUCUGGCACCUGGCCAAGACUUUUGAUAAGCUAAGUGAAAUUAACUUCAUGUGCUGGGAAUUUAUUCCCACUGAAGGACACUGUCCAGAGCCUGAGGGGGGGAUGUAGGCUUAGAGAAAGCAAAUGCUCUCCAGUCAAGGCCCAGGCCACAGAGCCUCCUUCGUGGUCUGACAGCAAAUGCUUUCUAGAGGAGGCUAAAUCCCCCCCAAGGUUACAAUAGCCACUCUGAGCUUUAGCAGACGCUGGUUUUAUCAGCUCAAGGUUGAAUCUAUUUCACAGCAAAGAGGAAUGGGGAAGAACCCUUACUGAGCCCUUCCUCCUCAGCUAAGCAGCUUUACAGCAUUUCAAAAUGCAUCUAAGCGGCAGUGGUGGUGCACAGCGCUUGGGAGGCAGAGGCAGGCAGAUCUCUGAGUCUGAGGCCAGCCUGGUCUAUAGAUCGAGUUCCAGGGUAGCCAGGUCUACACAGAGAAAUCCUGUCUCAGAAGAACAAAGACAAAAACAAGCAAAGUGCUUUCUAGACAGAAAUGAGAACUGCUUUGGCUUUUGCUUGUUUGUUGGCUUGCUUGUUUACUUUUUGUUUUAUAUUUAUUGUUUUGAGUUUUGUUUUGUUUUUUUACUAUUUCAAGAAAGGCAAUGUAGUGUAUGUAGUCUUUACCUAGUCUGAGAUUAUUUUCUUGCAAAGAUUGAGAUUAAAAAGGAAGGAGGGAAAAAUAGUAAAAUUCAUCUUAAACAUAGUAAAUGAUAAUUCUAGAAGACAGCCAUUUCCAUGCAUGUUAGUCUUAGAACCUCUUUUAGCACCCAGCUCUCCCCUCAGCUUCUCCCUGCCUAGCUGCUCAUGAUGGGUAGAUUAAUGUCUGCCCAGAAUGCUGUGUGUAGUCCCUGGUGAUCGUCCAUGGGAGUCUCAAGACCACAUCCUUUUUACCUCAAGCCAUACCCCUCAGGCCUUAGAGGUCUAGUCCAGGCCAGGUAGUGACUGUUUCACACCAGAGAACCUGUCUAGGAAGGCCAUCUACAUCCAUCUGUCCAGCUGCUCCUCUUAUCUGUGAAUUCCUUUUCCACAGACACAACCAGUUGCAGUUUGAAAAUAUUUAGGGUAAAAGAAAACACCCACAUCUAUUGGAGCAUGCACUGAUUUUUGAGUAAUUAUUCCUUAAUAACCCUUUAUAGUAAUGUGCACAGUGCUUUCAUUGUAUCGGGUGUUGUAAGGAAGCUAGAGAUGAUUUAAAGUGUGGGGGUGGGUACACGUAAGUGUCUCAGUCAUAAAACACACUCAAACGCUAUCAUUUGAGGGGCUGGAGACAUAGGCCAGUCAAGAGCACUUGCUGCUCUCGCAGAGGAUCUGAGCUCAGUUCCCAGCACCCACAUCAGGCAGCUCACAAACACCUGUAACUCCAGCUUCAGGUCAUCUGUCAUCUUCUGGCCUCCAUGAGCACCAAGACACGUGUGCAUAUGAACACACACACACGCACGCACACACACACACACACACACCAUACAAACGAUGUGUGUGUGUUUCCCUGUUUUGUUUAUCCAGCCUCUGCCCCUUUCUUUUAAACAUCAAAACAUUUUAAUUACAUUUUUUUUUACCUACUGUGUAAGUACAUAGGCAUGCACAUGCAGAGGCAAACGGCAAACGAGAGAUCUGAGGACCGUUAGUGAAGUUCCCUCUUCCCUUCUCCACAGGAGCUCCAGGCUUGGUUACAAGUCUUGGUAACUGUGACUGAGUCACUUUGCUCUUCUUAAGGUUUUAAAACCAACCCUUCCUACUUUGAAAAAAAGAAUUAAAGUGAGGGACCAUUUUUUUCCUAACGAGGAAGCAUCCAGGCAAACAGACAAACAGGGUCCAAUAAACCCUAGAAUGGGACACUGCAGUGCUAGUUCUGGACAGACAUGGGUCUGAGGGCAUAGAAGAACUCUGUCCCCAGCAACCCCAGCUCUGCACUUCGCACUUUGCACUUACGUUUGAUUUUUAUUUCAUUUUUACAAACCUUUGGCAAUGGCUGUGUGAAGUUCCCAAAAGUAAUCGGUGAGUUUAAAAUAAUUUCAACCAAAAUCUUAACAUGAUUUUUUCCUUGGCACUUGACAAGCUGAUUGUAAAAUUCACAAAGAACAUGUUUAAGAAUAACCAAGAUAAUUGUCUCAAAGGGAGAUGGAGUAGGCAAGAUGUCUCCCACCUGAGAAGGAGAUGGAUCUUGAGCGUAAGGUAAUUAAGAGGGCAUGGUAUUGACUCAGGGUCAGAUUUAGAAAAACAAUAGCUUAAUGUUUAGACUGGGGUUUCAGGACAAAGUUGAGGUGGUGUCUCAGCUCAGUGGGAAAUGGGCAGGUUAUUAAAUACAUGAAACUGGAAAUGUGAGAGGGCCUGAGGUUACCAUCUUGCCAUCUUGAAUCAGACAGAUGACAGACAGACAGAAGAAGCACAUGUUCAAUGUUAAAAAGCCAUAAACAUUAGAAGAAAAUAUCAUAUUAAUUUAUGACAGAAGGCUUGUAAACCCAAGUUCAAAACUUUAAAAAAAGGCCUUAGAAGAAAAAAAUGAUAACUAUGACAUAAAAAUAAAGUCUCUUCUACAGUGAGGCGCUAGCAUGUCAGACUUCUAGCAAUAUGGGAAAGUAGGAAAAAUUUAUAUCUCAUGAGGCAAAAGGUUAGUUAAAACAAAGAAGCAAUGCUUACGAAUUAAUGGUCACAGAUAUACCUAGCUCGUUUUUCAAAGAGGACCUUUUAAUGAACAGUAAACACAAGGAGUUAUAGCCUCAGCCAGGCAUGGUGGGAAUCCCUGUAUAGAGGAGGCAGGAGCAGUAAGAUCACAAAGACCAGCCUGGACUAUGUGGCCUUCCUCAAAAAAACAAACUUACCCAAUUACUUUAGUAAAGAGGGAGAUUCAGAUUAAAGAACAAGGUUAGGCUGACAAUGCUCUGUAACAAAAACCAGAAAACCAGACAUGAGUGUUUGAGUUGAGUCUUUUGAGUUGUUGGCUGGGGCCAUCCAAGAGACUUUCCUGUCAUGUAGGCUGUUGUUCCUGCCCUCAAUAGAGAAGUAAAUCCCUAUGGCUAAAGACACCAUGCACUUCAGAAGCAGGACCCAGAGCCCCGUGGGCUGCAUCUGACCUUAAUGCCUCCCUAAGGACCAACUUUCACAGUAGCAGAAGCUCCAAGGCAUCAUGCGAGCUUCCAAAGGAGUGAGUCAGACCACAUUACUACCUAUUAUGACCUCUAUGACCUCUAUGAACCAGAUCAGCCCCCCGUAAGCAUGAGAACCAAAGGAGCAAGUCAGACCACAGUACUAUGUAUUAUGACCUCUAUGAACCAGAUCAGCCCCCCGUGAGCAUGAGAGCCAAAGGUGCAGUAGUGGCAUGCAUACAUUGGCAGUAACCAACAGCUCUCUAGUUGGACUUUAGACCCAGUCAACAAGAGCAGAGCCAUUCCUGGUACUGGAACCCUAGCCAACUACCUGGUGCUAGUGAAUUCAUGCUGGUUAUUAGAGGAUGUGCUACAAUCUAGGGUGAUCCUAACAAUAUAUAAACGUGUCUUUUCACCCUCGGAUAAAUGUGGUCUUCACUCUUCAUCAAGGAAAACUUUUGUGCAUUAUAUGGAGACCAUUACAGAAAACUACAAUCAAUCAAAUGCCUUGUUGUGGAGCCCAGUCUGGCUCAGGAAACAUUUCUGAAAGGUAUUGGAAAUAUUGUAAAAUCAACAGGGUCAAGGAGUUUCCUAUGAGAUUGUGCCUCAUAGAAACAUUAAAAGAUGCACCCAUGAAGUCUCAUCAAGGAAGGGCACACCAAUUGAUUGUCCAGGGCUGAGUUUAAUUGUCCAGGGCCAUAUGCUCAGCCCUAAAAGCAUACAUACAAGUAACAAUAUAUAGUCGGAACAGGUUAUGUUUAGGAAUAUAUGUAUAUACAUAUGUGAUGAAAAAAUAAUUAGUGAAAACAGAGGCCAUGAAUGUGAAGGCAAUGGGGAGGGGCAUAUGGUAGGGUUUUGAGAAGGGAAAGAGAAGCAAACAAAAAAGGAAGUUACGAAGCCCAAAGUAACAUUGACAGUGCCUAGCAAUACAUUUCUUCCUCCCACUCAUGGCAACAGGGGUGGAACCUGUCCUGGUUAAAUUUUUGUCAACUUGACAUAAGCCAGGGUCAUCGGGGAAUAGGAACUUCACUUGAGAGAGUGCCUCUGUCAUCUUGGCCUAUAGACAAGUCUGUAGGCAUUGUCUUCAUUAGUGACAGACAGCAGAGGGCCCAACCUACUGUGAGCAGUGCCAUCCCUGGGUCUGAGUUAAAUAAGGAAACAGGAUAAGAAGUUCAAGGGAGCAAGCCAGCAUACAGCAUUUCUCCAUGACCUCUGCUUUGGAUUCUCACUCUGAGUUCUUGCCCUUGCUUCCCUCAUAAGAGACUACAACUUAAACUGAAAUAAAUCUUUUUCUUCCCACAAAACAACAAUAACAACAAUAACAAAACAAAAACAAAAAGGUCAUGGAUCACACUAUGAUAAAUUCAAACACCCCAUUCCUUCAGGGAAAACAACUUGUCUGUCUGUCUGUCUGUCUGUCUGUCUGUCUGUCUGUCUGUCUGUCUCUAUCUAUCAUCUAUCUAUCUAUCUAUCUAUCUAUCUAUCUAUCUAUCUAUCUAUCUAUCUAUCUAUCUAUCUAUACCUGUCUGUUUCAUUUAUAUAAAACACAGCCUGACUGUCUUCCCGAAGGUUGUGGCAGGCAGCUGAGGGUGUUAGAAUUCUAGUCCCAUGCAUACUUGAAGGUAUGGAUUUGUCCAUCUCUGGUGCUAGUAAAAUAAUAAUUUUCAUGCUAGAGAUGGCUUGGUUCUUAAAAGCGAUUGUCAUGCAAACUAGAAGACCUAAAUUCAGUCCUGAGACCACAUGUAGAGAGUCACUUGUGGUGGUAUAUGCUGUAACCCCAGCACUCCUACAGAGAGGUGGGAGGUGGAAGCAAGAAUGAGCCUGGAGCUCAAAGGCCAGCGAGCCUGAAAUACAUUGUACAGCAGAAACAAGAAAGAUUGGCCUCAACAAGGUGGAUGGUGAGAACCAACCUCCAAAUUUGUCCUCUGACUCCUACAAGUGUUCUGUGGCACACACAAACCGACAUUCACACUCACAUAUGCACAAAUAAUAUUAAUACAUAUCAAAUUUAAAAAUAAUUGCCAUUUAAGAGACUGCACCCCUUGAGUUAAACAUAGAAAUUGGAAGGAAGAUAUGUGAUUGUACAGCAAUUGUUACUGCCCUGGCAUCCAAGUUCAUGGUCAGUGACCUCAUCACAUAAGAUGUAGGCCAGUUGCUCGGCUCAGCAAACAUGUUGUCCAAUUGGGAGUAGAAGAUAUAGACAAGGAAGUCAUUCAAAAUAAGAGGAAUAUUUCAUGCACUGAAAAUGCCCACAGGUGAAAGGCCUCUAAAUAUGGAGGAGGUCCCAGUCCUGUCACCACAAGGAGCUGAAUUCUCUCAGCAGAUUACUCCUAGCAAUCUCAUGAUAACUCACGACCGUCUGUAAUGGGAUCUGAUGCCCUCUUCUGGUGUGCAUGAAGACAGCAAUAUAUAGUCACAUAUAUAAAAUAAAUAAAUCAUAAAAGAUAGUAAAAAAAAAUCUGUCAGUUGAAUCCCAGGAGAUCUGAUGCACUCUUCUGGUCUCUGCAGAUACCAAACAUAUACAUGGUACACAGACAUACACCCAGGCAGACACCCAUAUGUCCAUAUUCUUUAAAUAAAAAAAUUAAAAUUAUUCUUUUUAAAACCUACGAGUUUGAACUUGGUUGAUGAGAGACCAUCAUACAUUUCCAUGAAGGGUUCUCUGUGUGCAGAAUAGACUAGUCACCAUCCAAUAGAUUCUCUUAAGACUGAGCCCAGCUUAAGCAUGCUCCAAAUCAGAAGGAACAGUGCCUCCAGGGCCCAUAGCACAUCCCGAGUAUAGUCUUGUUGAUUUGUGGUUUGGUGAGAGUUUGUGAGAGAGGUUGCAGGCAAGGCCCAAGCCCCUGAGUGGCAGCUGCUGGCAUGAUAGAUUUAUGCUGGACUCCGACUCUUGGGAAUGGAGACUUGAGUCUGCAGAAGGCACCAUCGUAAACGGGGGUGCCAGGCAAUCUGCACUGGCAGCUGACUCUUGGCUCCACAAUAAACUCAGCCCUCACAGGCAGUCAGGCCACAGAAAUUUAUGAGCCCUGAGGAGCGUGUGUGACCAAGGCUGCUCAAAGGAGGCAAUACAUUGUGCAGGGCCGACUGUCAAAUAACAUGUUAGGGUUUCUUCAGUGCUCCCAAGACUUAGAGAUUACAUCUUCAAUACAUCAAUAACUUAGCCCCUGGUUAGCAGGGUGCACUGGGGCAUGACUAAUCAGCGGAUGAAAGUGUCUUUGUGGGGAUUAACUUUAAUGAAAAGAAAAGGGAUAGUUAUUCAGGGUUGGAAUUCCUCCACAAAUCAAAGGGCACACUGACACAACAGGUUCAUAAGGUAAGAAUGAGGCCAUUGUGGAAAAUUAAGGAAUGGCUACUUUUUAUAUAAAUCACAGUUCAGGGCUCUUUGGUUGUGGAUUCCACAGGAAUUGGGACUCCAAGUUUUUCAGGUGUAUUUAGGGAGGCUGUGCAGUCCUUAAAGAAAACCAGAUGUCCUGUGUCCAUAUUAGCCCUUUCCCAGUGGCUUCCAGUCUGCCUGGCAACUAGCCCAUUGUGUCUACAAGAGAGAGUGCCCUGCUUCCUCCAAAUAUGGUGUGCAGAAUCCAUCCUGAACCUGUUGCCUAAUCUGUGAGCUACUCAUAGACAGACCAUGGCAACGACUGUACUCAGCCUUUGGGCCAUGUAAGAAAGGCACUUCUCUGCUCCUCACGGUGACAACAGCUCAAGCCAGGAUGAGCCAGGGAUGAGCUUCUCUUUAGAACCGAUCAUACGUAUGCCUCCCUCCAUGAUUUUCAAGUCAUACCUCAUUGAUGUGGUGCUCUGAGAGUGGAUAUCACUAACACCCUACUCAUGCCCAGACUUCAUGAUUUGAAUCUCAUAAUGAAGAAACUACCAGAUAGAGAAGAAUUCCAUGAAGCAACAGGCUCCUUCUCUAAUACAGGGGUUGAAGAACUAUUUUAGAUUAAGAAAGACCAAAAAGAUAUGACAACCUAGCUAGGCUGGAGUCUUGCCACAAUGAAAGGGCUGUCACACUGUAGGACAUAUGGCUGUCUUAUGAGCUAAGAAAUAUUAAUGAUACAUCUUCAAUCUUAAAUUUCCUAAAUUUCAUAACUGUAUAGCAGUAUGUGAGAGAGCUCUUGAUUUGUCUUGUGGAUUUUUGUAGUUUGUGUUUUGUUCUGGGAAUUGAACUAGGGCUUCAUGCUGUUUGACAAACCCUCUACUGCUGAGCUAUGGCACCAGCCCGUGAAAUACUAUUUUUGUUUGUAUGGGAUGCACAAUACACAUGGAAAUUUUGGGAGUUAACAUUGAUGGUGUUUACAACUGAGACCCAAAAGGUUUGUGGGCAUGGGAGAAAGCCCAGUGGGUAAAGUGCUUGCUGUAUAAAUCUGAAGACUUGUGUUCUUACCACUAACGCUCGUGUGAAAAGCCAGUGGUGCCACAUGUCUGUAGUCCUGUUACAGGGACAUGGAUACGGAGAAGCCUAGGUGCGCUUACUAGCAAGCCAUUCCAGCGAGUCAGCAUAGUUCAUGUUUGAUGAGAGAGCUAGCCGAGACAGAGUAUGAUUGAGGAAGAUACUCAGUGGGACAAGGAAGUGCACAUCACAGUGAACAGGAAGCAGGCAGUGAGAAAGAAGGGCAACCCCUGGCUUCCUGCCUUUACCCUACUCCUUCCAGGCCUACACUCCAUGACACAGAGCUGCUUGAAUUCAUGGAUGUUGAUUCUCUCUGGAAACACCCCAUAGACACGCUCAGAGGUGUGUUUUACAAAGCUCUCUGGAGCCAGUCAGGGCAGUGAAGCUGGCAGUCAACAUCAACAAUCACAUACAAACAGGAUGCGAGAAAUACAGUGAGAUACAAGGUAACCAUUUGUGAGGCUCCAUGGAAAAUGUACAGGAGUUCAUUGUACUGUUGUUGCAGCAUCUGUGUAGGUUCCAAAUGCUUUCAACAUAAAAAGCAACAAAACCAGGCCAAAAAAACAAAAACAAAACGAAGCAAAACAAAACACAAAAACAACAACAAAAACCCAAACAAGUUAUAUUUUAACAAUAGUAAAAGCAAGAAAAAAAUGUAUACCAUCUUUGAAACAGAAGCCCUGCCUGAAUUCCUGUUGUUACAGUAAGUCUGUCUACGAGUACGAGAGAGAGGGAGAGAGACAGACAGAUAGACAGACAGACAGAGAGAUAUGAAAGAAAUGCUUCAGCCAGUAUCCACUAGAAAUGCUUUCGACUUUGGCUUUCAUACUUCCCAGCAUGUAUGAGUAUAGACAGACCUACAGUCCUCACACAAUCCAGUCUGGAGCUGGGAAGGAAAUUCUUUUUUUUUUUUUUUUGGUUCUUUUUUUCGGAGCUGGGGACCGAACCCAGGGCCUUGCGCUUCCUAGGUAAGUGCUCUACCACUGAGCUAAAUCCCCAGCCCCAGGAAAUUCUUUUUAACCCACUGCUUUGUUCUGUUGGUUGUUUUGUUUUGUUUUAAUAGAUUGGCUUUGUGUCUUAUAGACUUGCAAGAUGAUUGCGGCACUUCCUGACAUCAUGACUCCUUUCUAGGAGGGAAGUGAGUUAAAAAUAAAGACAGAAGAAAAGGGACAGUGUCCCAAAAGCCUUUGUAGUGCAGUUAUGCUAAAAUAUGACCAACAUGUGUCUGUUUUCUAAGCACCUCUUCCAUAACUUCCAUAAACUGACUGAUCUAACCUCAGAAACUGAGACUGAACCUGGGGUUGGUUCUGGUUCUUUUUGUCCACGCUGUGGUUUUGUACAAACCUUUCUACCUGUCUUGGUCAGUCUGUUUCCUCAAUGUAAAGUGAGAAAUUGAAAUUGGAUUGUUAUCUGAGAUUCUCUUCUAGUGACAAGUCUGUGAUUGCAUAGGUUUGCUUUUUGUUUUUGUUUUGCUUUGUCUGUCUGAAGUGCACAAAAUCGCUAAUUUAAACCAGUUUAAACAACUGGGAUUCCCCACAUCCCUUUCUUUUCUGAGUCAGGGUCUCAUUGUUUCUCAGGCUGGUCUUGGACACAUGGAUUCAAAUAGUUUGCCUGCCCCAGUCAUCCACAUACCCAAGGACAGAGGCAUAUAUCCCCACACCUAGCUCAGGAAGAGUGUUAUCUUACAGAGGAAAGGUGGACAGCUGGGGAUCCUGGGAUUUCUCCACUCAUGAGGCUGUCUGCUCACCUGGUGUGACAGUUUGAAUAGGUGACCCCUGUAGGUUCAUACAUGUGAAUGCUUGCCCAUAUUAUUAGGAGGUGUGGCCUUGUUGGAGGAAGGGUUGGGCUUCGAGGUCUCCUCUUAUGCUCAGGCUCACCCAGUGCUAACAGCUGUCUCUUCUCGACGGUUAGAGUUCUCAGCUCCCCCAGCACUGUGUCUGACUGCGCAGUGCCAUGCCUCAAGCAGUGAUAAUAAUGGUCUAAACCUCUGAAACUGUAAGCCAGCCCUAAGUAAAUGUUAGGAUUGCCUUGACUGUGGUGUCCCUUCACAGGAGUGAAUCUCUAAGACACCUGCCUUCUUAUGAAACACACAUGCAGCUAUUGUGGGUCAGGAGUGAGCGCCUAGAUGAGACAAGGUGCACAGGAGUUGGAACACUGUCUCUCCGUUCUCUCUCUCUCUCUCUCUCUCUCUCUCUCUCUCUCUCUCUCAUCUUUAUUAACUUGAGUAUUUCUUAUUUACAUUUCGAGUGUUAUUCCCUUUCCUAUCAUCCCCCUAAUCCCUCUCCCUCCCCUUCUUUAUGGGUGUUCCUCUCCCCAUCCUCCCCCCAUUACCACCCUCCCCCCAACAAUCACAUUCACUGGGGUUCAGUCUUAGCAGGACCAAGGGCUUCCCCUUCCACUGGUGCUCUUACUAGGCUAUUCAUUGCUACCUAUGAGGUCAGAGUCCAGGGUCAGUCCAUGUAUAGUCUUUGGGUAGUGGCUUAGUCCUGGAAGCUCUAGUUGGUUGGCAUUGUUGUUCAUAUGGGGUCUCCCUUCAAGCUCUUUCAGUCCUUUCUCUGAUUCCUUCAACGGGGGUCCCGUUCUCAGUUCAGUGGUUUGCUGCUGGCAUUCACCUAUGUAUUUGCUGUAUUCUGGGGGUGUCUCUCAGGAGAGAUCUAGAUCCGGUUCCUGUCUGCCUGCACUUCUUUGCUUCAUACAUCUUAUCUAGUUUGGUGGCUGUAUAUGUAUGGGCCACAUGUGGGGCAGGCUCUGAAUGGGUGUUCCUUCUGCCUCUGUCCUAAACUUUGCCUCCCUAUUCCCUGCCAAGGGUAUUCUUGUUCCCCUUUUAAAGAAGGAGUGAAACAUUUGCAUUUUGGUCAUCCUUCUUGAGUUUCAUGUGUUCUGUGCAUCUAGGGUAAUUCAAACAUUUGGGCUAAUAACCACUUAUCAACGAGUGCAUACCAUGUGUGUUUUUCUGUGAUUGGGUUACCUCACUCAGGAUGGUAUUUUCCAGUUCCAUCCAUUUGCCUAUGAAUUUCAUAAAGUCAUUGUUUUUGAUAGCUGAGUAGUAUUCCAUUGUGUAGAUGUACCACAUUUUCUGUAUCCAUUCCUCUGUUGAAGGGCAUCUGGGUUCUUUCCAGCUUCUGGCUAUUAUAAAUAAGGCUGCGAUGAACAUAGUGGAGCACGUGUCUUUUUUAUAUGUUGGGGCAUCUUUUGGGUAUAUGCCCAAGAGAGGUAUAGCUGGAUCCUCAGGCAGUUCAAUGUCCAAUUUUCUGAGGAACCUCCAGACUGAUUUCCAGAGUGGUUGUAGCAGUCUGCAAUCGUUCUCUUGAACAGCCUCCAGGCAGCUGUCUUCUUCCACAUGUCUGCACAGGAUUGGCAAGGAGUAUGGAAUGAAUAACCCACUAGAUUAGGCUGACAAUUAGACAGAUCAGCUAUGGUCACACAAACUUUGGGUUGCCAGAAGUUCUAGAUCCUUUACUUAUAAUGGGAGCUGCUUUGGAAAAUAAUUUUCUUCCAGAUGCUGCAGUAAGGUUCACACACAUCAAAGCUCACAUACGGCUGCCUCAUCCCCUAAUUCAGCACUGACCACUUCCACCUUAGUAAAGGAAGUAGCUCCCUGGCUGACUGCUCCAAGAAACAGGGAGAAAGGAAACAUAGGCCUAAAAGCAUGGGUUCCCUUGGGGUUUGUGCACUGUGACUAUUGACUCACUUACGUCCAUGUAUUAAUUUAACAAAUAUUUAUUGAGUAUAUAUACUCUCUCAGGGGCUGAUGAAAACCUGUGGUCUCUGGGGAUUUAGCUCAGUGGUAGAGCACUUGCCUAGGAAGCGCAAGGCCCUGGGUUCAGUCCCCAGCUCCAAAAAAAAGAACCAAAAAAAAAAAAAAACCUGUGGUCUCUGAUCUUAAGUAAGUUACAGUCUUGUGGUUGAAACAGACACACGGACAAUUAGAAUAAAUAUUGUUAAUGGGAAGAGUCAGGAGGAAGGGAUACUUAAACACUGGGUGACAUCACAAGGGGAAUUGCAACUGACUCAGUGCUCUAGAUUCCCAUUAUAUUAAUCAUGUUAUAAAAUACGGACAGGAUGGUGCAUGUGUAUAUGUGCAUAUGUCCAUGCUUUGUUGCUUGUAUGUGUGUGUUUUGCAUUUAUAUGUGCCUGAAACGACAUUGUUUCUCCUUUAUCACUGUGUAUGUGUAUAUGUGUGUGUAUUUGUGUUUCUGUGUAUGUGUGUGUAUGCGUAUGUAUGUGUGUAUAUGUGUGUGUGUAUGUAUGACUGUGUGUAUGCGUAUGUAUGUGUGUAUGUGUGUAUAUGUGUGUGUGUAUGAAGUGUGUGUAUGUGUAAGUAUAUGUAUGUGUGGGUGUGUAUGUGUGCAUGAUUGUGUGAUUGUGUGUGUGUUUUCCACAGAGGAUCUCACCAUUUCUCCCAGACUGUUCUCAAGCUCUGGGAACAUCCUCUUACCUCAGCCUCCCAAGUGCUGGGAUUUACUUUCUUUACCUAAAACUUUUAAGAAAAUAAAAAUUCUAUAUGUGGUGUGUGUGCAUGUGUGUGCGUGCGUGUGCGUGCGUGUGUGUGUGUGUGUGUGUGUGUGUGUGUGUGUGUGUGUGUGUGAUUUUUCCACAGAGUGAAAUGAUAGGGUUGGGUCUGCCCUGUAAGUCUUAUAAGUCAGUCUCAUUGUUUCCUGUUGUGGGAGCUUUUCUAUCCAGUUCCACUGUGCAGUGUUUGCUGAUAAAAGGCAGUUCUUUCAGUGAGUUUCUCAGCAAACUAGCACCAGAUAAUAAUGUGUCCAGCACCAUGCCAUCUGUGUUGGCAUAAUAUCUAGACAUGUAUAUUUUAUAUAUGUAUAUUAUCCCUGUAGCAGGCCUCCUAUACAUGGUGGGGGUAGAGAACAAAGGAUUGAAAACUCAGUGUUGUAAAACCAGCAUGUAAUUUAGGUAGAUGUAAGAUGUGUGGUCUGAGGACAUGGCUCAGUGACAGAGCAUCUUCCCGGGCACCUGCAGGUAGAACUGACACAAAGGGCUGGACAUGCUGAGUUAAUCGUGUAUGAAAUGUUUUUAAAGGUAAGGAAGGCAGCCACACAAGCAAGCAAGGAAAAGGGGUUAUCAAGAAACUGAAAUAUAAAAUGUAAGGGAGGGGGUAGGUAUAGCUGUAGAAAUUAUCUGUAAAAUGGAAGGCAUGUGAGAAGAAAUUCUAAGAAUAUAAAGCAAAGAAAGAUGGUCAGAUUAGACCGAAAACGAAGAUCGACCUUUAUGAUGUCUAUAAAGGACACACUGUAGAUUCAAAGAUAUAAAUACAUUGACAGUAAAUAGAAGAAAAUACAACAUAUAACCACUUAAAGAGUGACAUAAGAGUUGUAGUGGCUUUUAGUGUGAGACAUAAUCAAAUGCAAGGCAGCAGAUGUUAGAAGACCAAAGGGCAUGCUUCUGAUAGCAUCACAACAGAGCAGGAAGAAUGCUUCUGAUAGCAUCACAACAGAGCAGGAAGAAGCGAUUAUAAAUUAGAUACAACUAAAACACCUUUCCAAACACACUGACAAAACCUCACAGAAUUAGAAAGAAAAAUAGACUUUAUCCAUUAUAUUUGCAAAUUUUAAGAAUAUCCUUCCAAGUCAGGUACCAGUGACUCACAUCUUUAAUCCCAGCAAUUCAGGAGGCAGAGGCAGAGGCAGAGGCAGGCAGAUCUCUGUGAGUUUGAGGCCACCGUGACCCACAGAACAUGUUUUUGGACAGUCAGAGAGACCCUGGCUUCAAAAACUAAAAGCCAAGUCGAACAAAACAAAAGAAAAAACAAACCAAAAAAUAGGCUUCCAUUAGCUGACUAACCAGACAGUGUCUCGAGCCCAACAUCUUGCCAGCAGGAACGACGCGCAGACACCAGGAUCCUUCUGCAGCAAAGCGUUUAUUACAUCUUGAAGAGGAGAGAGCCGGGGCCCAGAAAGGCGCUGCUUAUAUACACCCUAGUGCGGCGCGUCCAUGCCUGAUUGGUCGCUUACCCAUGAUCUCACUGGCACGCCCCGGGGUGGGCAAAGACUUGGCGCGAACACACUCUUGCACAUGCGCACACAGCUAGCUUCCUGAAAGGAAGUCGGGCUGGCGCAGCGGAAGCCAGCACCAUCUUGUAAUGGCGAAUGUUAUUGCGGCUUUCCACAUCUCCCCCUUUUUGUUUUACUAGAAUGAGGCUGGUCUAGGCCUCUGUAGUUACGUCCGUCUGCUGUGGCUCCUGUCUUAGGUCGUUUCUCUAAUGUCACAGCCACCGGGCCCCGUGUCUUAGAUUGGUCUGUGCAUGAGGAAAGUUGCCUGUCUCUGGAUACCGCAGUGCUGUGUGACAGUAACUGCUAAAUGACCUAGGGCGAACUCUACAAAAGAGGCCAGCCAGAAAAUGAGUUAGUGGGGAAAUCAUGAUCACCCUAUCGUGUGCAAUGAGGAAACCUCAGCGAUGUAGAAGGGCUGAUCAAAGAAUCAUUGAGUCUCUCUCAUCCCAGUGCAAUGGAUCCACAAAUCCAUGGGGUGCAAGAGCAGAGAACUCAGAUGCCGACUAAUUCCUGAGCAUAGAUAACCAAAUUCCAGGGGAGGCCCCUUGUUCAAUGGCCACAAGUGCUUGAGUGACAACGACCUUGUCACAUUUCUGUUGAGAUCUGGGUUUGUAAAACAACCAUAGCAUGAACACUAAUCCACAGCAUAGGGCUGCAUCAAACAGAGCCACUCCCGAUAAGUAGUGGGCACCUCAUCUGGUUCUCCAAGGGCCGUAGUCAAGCCGCUCCUAUAAUAGAAUUCCCAAUUGUUAGCAACUACUCCAGAAAGUUCACCCACUGUGCUUGCCUAACAAUAGACUGGGGGAGGGUAACUCUAGACACUGCAGACACAAUGGCUGCAGCAGUAAUGGCUGCUACAAUAGCAGCGAAAGUAACAAGGUCUUUCCCAGGACAGUUUAGGAUCGGUCAUUCUUCUCUGGAACAACCAGCAGGCAAUGGAACCAUGUGUGAGAUCUGCACAACCAGGGCAGAGUUCCCCAGUCCACAGCAGCUUCACGCAGAUGGCAUUCCUGUGAAGCUACAGACUGUAAGAUGACAACACCAGUUAAGGCAGCAAGAGUCACCAGGGGAAUGAGGGGGGAUCUUCCAUCUUCCUCUCAGGGCAGAGGAAUGACUCCAGGGACCCGAACCAUGAGAGCUGAAUCUUCAUGCAACCAGGAUCAGCAAGUCUCAGCAACCACCUCUGGCAGCUGGCAUACUCUUGUAGCAUCCUCUAGAAAAUACACAAACAUUCCCUCUUCCCCAUAAAAAUACCUGGACAGGAUCAUGCCAAUGCAGAAGUAUGUCUAGGGUGCCAUAAACCUUGGCAUCCAAAUUUUAAAAUUGAAAAUAAAAGGAGUAUUAUUAAAUAAUUGUAUAGCAUACAGGGAUAACUCCCCCUUUUUAUUUAUUAAGAUAUAAACUGUCUAGUAUCAUUGUCCUCCCUCGUUAAGGGGUCUAGGCAAUCCAGUUUGAGUUCUUAAAUGUCCUAUAAAGGAACAGUACUUAGUGUUCUUAACCACUAAGCCAUCUCUCUAGCACCUCACAAACUUUGUUUCCAAUGAGGAUAACAAAGACCUAAGUCCUCUGGUAAGGUGAGGUACUUAGCCAACUAACAUAUCCUUAGAAGUUUAAAAUUAGUUUUAAAUAUUCUUUUCUGGAGUAGUGUAACAGCUACUCUCUAAAUAUUAAAGCUCAUUUUGAGAGCAAAGGUUUGUAGUAAAAAUUUUUAUAUACACUGAAAGAUUUAAAGUUCUAACUUCUUACAUUGAAGAAGCAACAAAAUUACAUAAUAUAAGGCUGUUAGCCAUUUUUAAUGAUAUCACUUUAUGGGCCCUCAAAUUAUAAGCAAGCUCACGAAAUGAAAACUCACAAUCGCCAGGACAUAAACAAAUUGCAUAAAAACAAUCUUCUAAAUCUAUCUUGAAAUGGCAGUUGGAGUAAGCAAACUGGCUGUAAUGUUCUCACAAGUUUCAAAACCUCAUCAAUCCUUCGUAAAUCUUGUAACAAUCUCUACCUGUUUGAUUUUUUCUCAAUUAUAAAUAAGUUUGAGUUAGUCAAUGAAACACUGGCAAUCCUUAAUCACAAUCCUUAAGUUCUCCUUGUAACACCAGAGCACAGCCACAAGGUCACCUGAGUUCUGAGUACCUGACUAGGCAGCUGUUCUUGGGGCAGUGGAAUUAGCAUCAAAAUACAGAUAACUUUAGGGCAAACCACAACUUUGGAAAGCAAAACUCAACCUCCAACAAACGAUCUAGUCUCCAAAAUCCAGUCUCUAAAACACCAAGUCUAUCCUUCAUGUUACCAAGUUUGACUGUCAAUUCCUACAUAUGAACCCACGAUGGUGCGGUCUCCAAUACCUCAAAGAGACAUUGUCCUAAAUUCUUUUAGAAGCCUGGUUUCGAGGAUAAGAGUUUCAUAAAAAUAUUGUCUCAAUUUAGACCUAUUUCCCUAGGUUGGCUCAUGCCACAUGUUGUCUAGAAUGACUUUAUCUAAAUUACCAGCUUUAUGUCAACUUUCUGUUACCAAUGUUAUACCUUUUUAACCAUAUCUAAUAACUUAAAAGCCAAUAGUAUAUAACCAAGGCAUGUAGAGCUUAUUUAUACAUUUAAAACCAAUGAGAAACAAAAUUGAAGUGGCUACACAUGUCUUUAAUAUUUACACCAAGCACCAUUUUUACUUUUCUAGCUAUGAUUUUAAGAGAAGCACCUUGUCACCUGUUAAGUCUAAUAAUAAGUCAGGGAUUUUUCUAAGAGAAACAGCCAUCAACUCCUGUACCAAAGAAGCUGAGGAGCUGCUGGCACCUUUAAGAUCAGCUCGUGCAGACGCUCAGCCCCCGGGCAGCUUCUCCAGCUGACCUAGACACCUGGCUACAGGUACAGGGCUCCAAGGACUGAUUGAAACUGUUUUUUAUUCAUUGUUCCUUUUUUGAAACGAGUUAAAACCAAAUCAAGGUGUGAACAACUGGCAGAUAAAGUUUUCACCAUUUUCUCUUUUGAACAUGAAACAUAAAACAUUUAAGCAACGAGAAACAAAAACCACAGACAUAAACUGACAGAUAUGGACAGCUUGGUGCACCAAGGACAGACAAUAGACAGAGGGGAAAAAACUAGAUGGUGUCCCACCAAAGGGACCCAGAUUCCAAUAGGAGUCAGCAGAGAGGUAGGAUUUCCCCUUUCCCACCACUUGUACAGUGACCAUCCACUCGAGUGGAGUUGAUAUGGACGAUGGAUUGUCUCAAUUCUUGGACUAGUCCAUCAACGUGUUGAAACCAAAUUCCUGUAAGAUACUGAGAUAUAUUACGGGAUAUCUGAGCAGCGCGACUGACAUUUACAAAUGGUAUGGAAGUGAAACACAGUCCUGAAUAAAAUACAACUCUGAAGACAAAAGUUUAGAAUUGAGAUAUCUUUUUGUUUGAUUCUCCUGAAUAAAUUUUUUAGGCGGUUUACCUCUAUCAAAUCUGACCAGUAUGACUCUGUGAAGUUUCCAGAGCCUAAUCCCACCUUUUACAAGCACAAAGACAAAAUUUUUCUCCCAAAAUAUUGUGUUCCUUUAUCUCCUUUUCUUUUCUUUUUUUCUUUCGAGACCUUUUCUCCCUCCGACAUACUUUCUUGUUGUUCUGCAAGGACCCUCUGACCUGUCCUAAUGGCUGUAAUGGCUUCCCACACAAAGAAAAAAAUAAACAAAAUUACCAGCCUUGCCCACAAAGGAUCCAUAACUUUCGGUUUCUUCACAGUGGCUCUCCACCUAGGCCCAUAUCUUUCUUCUUCAUAGCGAGCUGCCUCAUCUUCUAAAUCCUCUUCCUCAGAGGGGCUAAGCUCGUCUGUUUCUGAACUAUCAAGCCCCAAAGCCUCUAACUCCUCUACUGGAUAAAGGCUUUUCCUUUUCGGGGCUUUCUCCUCUUUUCCCUGUUUCUCUCCCGGGGCGUCCUUUCCCCUAUCUCUCGCUUCCUCGGAUCCAAGGUCCUUGGAAGGGCCUUUUUUCUUAUGUGCACCUUUUCUCUUUGAGCUCUUUAAUCUUUCAUUCCGCUCUGUUUCUGACAUGCUGUAUCAAGACCAAACAUGCCUCUCAGAGCUUACCUGCAGUUCUGGACCCUCUCCGCAAACGGAGGCUCUCCUCAGCGCCGGCGAUGGUGAGGCGUUUUUUUUUUGUGGGUUUCGGCACCAUAUGUCGCUCGCCCAACGUCUCACCAGCAGGAACGAUGCGUAGACACCAGGAUCGUGCAGCAAAGCGUUUAUUACAUCUUGAAGAGGAAGAGAGACCCAGGGCCCAGAAAGGCGCUACUUAUAUACACCCUAGUGUGGUGCGUCCACGCCUGAUUGGUCGCUUACCCAUGAGCUCACUGCCACGCCCCGGGGUGGGCAAAGACUUGGCGCGAACACUCUUACACAUGCGCACACAGCUAGCUUCCUGAAAGGAAGUCGGCUGGCACAGCGGAAGCCAGCGCCAUCUUGUGAUGGCAAAUGUUUUUGAGGCUUUCCACAAGACAGAGAGUCAGUGAGGAUGCAGAGGCCAUGGUUAACACCAACUUGAUAUGAUACACACAGCACAGUUCAACCAACAACAGAGGGGUGGACAUGUAAUAGUUCCCACGUAUUAUAUUAUAGUUGAAAAUUACAUCUCCAUACAUUUAAAACAUUGUAACCACAAGAGGUAUUGACAAAGAAAGAUUAAAUUAGAAAUUGAAAAUAAAAAAACCAAACCGUAGCUAGCUCUGUAGCAUUUGUAAAGUAAAUGCAGCGUGAACUGAGGGAAACGUCGUGAGGCACUGGAAAACAUCUAGAACUGAGCCAGAUGGCCACAGACAACAUGGAAAUUAUGGUUGCAGCUUAAGUUGGCAGAAAGGAUAAUUUAUAGUUUUGAACACUUUUACUAAAAAUCUGAAAUCAACAGUAUAACUUUUGCCAGAAAUGGACAAGGAAAAAAGACCAAUUCAAACAUAGCAUAAAUAGAACAUAGGAAAUGAUAAAGGGUCAUAUAGAAACUAACACAAGGAGGAAAAGACCAGGAGAAACCAAUAAAAUAGAAAACUGACUUUUGAAAAGGGGCCACAAAAUAUAUCAAACUUUAGGUAAAUGACAAAGGGGGAAAUAGAAGAUUCAAAACAGCGAGUGGAGAGCAGGUUGGAAGGAAAAGGCUUGUGAGGACAUAGACAACUUCAUGUGAGCAAUGAGGUGAUUUAGGAUAGGAAAUGGUCAAAUUUCUAAACAGACACGUUACCAAAACACAUUUAAUAGAAAAAAUUAACCUUAAUAAAAUUAAAAAUAAAGACAUUGAAUUAGUUAUUUAAAAAUUCUCAAAACAAACAAAAACCAAACAACAGUUUAAAAAAAUGACCUACAAAAGUCUCUAUGGCUUUAUUAGUGCUUUUUUAAUUUAAAAAAUCUAAAAAUCUUUCAAAAAUAUUGUAGAUCAGCUUCUACUUAAUCUUUUGAUUACAAUACUAACCUAGCAUCAGAAAAAGACAUCAUAAGAAAAGUAUUCCAGACCAGUAUCUAUUUUAAAAAAUUUAUUUUUCCUUUCUAUGUAUGAGUGACUGCUUUUGUGUGUGUGUGUGUGUGUGUGUGUGUGUGUGUGUGUGUGUGUGUGUGUGUGUGUAUGUGUGUACUGUGAGCAUGCCCAGUGCUGGUGAGGCCAGACACGGCAUCAGAUUCCCCUGGAAUGGAUUAGCAGGUGGUUGUGAGCCGCCAUGCAGGUUCUAGGAACUAAUUUCCAGUUCUCUGCUAAAGCAGUCAGUGCUCUUAGUCACUGAGCCAUCUCUCCAAGUCCAGUCACACACACACACACACACACACACACACACACACACACACACCUCUGAUGAAUGUUUGCUUAAAUGUUUGGACCAUUGAAAACAGGAGAUAAUGGGAGAUUGAUAUGUAAUAGAUUCAGGAUUUCAUUUGGGGAUGAUUGGAAGCUUCUGGUGAUGAAUGACUGUGACAACUGGUUAAUAACAUAGAUUUCUCUAAUGACACAAAACAGUGAAUUUAGAAAUGACUAAAUGGUAAGUUUUUUUUAAGAUUUAUUUAUUUAUAUGAGUACACCGUCGCUGUCUUCAGACACACCAGAAGAGAGCAACGGAUCCCAUCACAGAUGGUUGUGAGCCACCAUGUGAUUGCUGGAAAUUGAACUCAGGACCUCUAGAAGAGCAGUCAGUGCUCUUAACCACUGAGCCAUCUCUCCAGCCCAAAUGGUAAAUUUUAUACUGUGCAUCCUUUUAAAAUUGAAAAACAAAAAUAGGAAAAAUAAUAUGAGAAUGAAUAACCUAUUGUUACAAUUGUCAGACAUUUAAAAAGAUAUUCAUCGGGGCUGGUGAGAUGGCUCAGUGGUUAAGGGCACUGACUGCUCUUCCAGAGGUCCUGAGUUCAAUUCCCAGCAACCACAUGGUGGCUCACAACCAUCUGUAAUGGGACCUGAUGCCCUCUUCUGGUGUGUCUGAAGACAGCUACAGUGUACUCAUAUAUGUGAAAUAAAUAAAUCUUUAAAAAAAAAGAUAUUCAUCAGUGAUGACAAACAGAUACUGGAAAAGAAACAACAUGAUUAGCCAUUCUAGAGAUGGAAACCAAAACCAAGAGACCCACAGUCACCCACUAGCACGGCUGUAACUGAUUACAAAACUCAGCAUUAAUGAUCGUGUGGAGAUUGGUAUCUCCAUAUGUUGCUAGUGGGAAUAUAGAAUUAUAUAAGUUGAUGGUUUUUUAAAAUGUAACCAUGGGGUUGGGGAUUUAGCUCAGUGGUAGAGCGCUUGCCUAGGAAGCGCAAGGUCCUGGGUUCAGUCCCCAGCUCCGAAAAAAAAGAACCAAAAAAAAAAAAAUUAAGAUGUAACCAUACACUCAGCAUAUAACCUAGAAAAGUCACUACUAUCUAAUCAAGAGAGACUUGCAUACAGGUUUGUAUCACAGCAUCAUCAGUAAUAGCUGGUCAUGAACAAGUGGGCAAGUCACUGAGGUGACUCCAUGUAGUGCAUUGACAGAGCAGAACAAGCAUGCAGGUCCUGUACAUGUGACAACAUGGGUCACAUUAACUGCUCAGGGGAUAUAAUUCCACCAUUUCCCCUUCCCAGUCCUCCAAGUCCUCCCACAUAUCUCUCCUUCCCUCACUCUUUCAAACUCACAGCCUCUUAUUUUCUUUAAUUACUGGUGUGUGUGUGUGUGUGUGUGUGUGUGUGUGUGUGUGUGUGUGUGUGUGUGCCCUGCUAAGUCCACAUAUGUUACUGGUUGGGCAGUGAACAUUAGUAGCUUCUGUAGCUGCUGUGUCAUGGUGACUGAUAUAAACAACUGGGAAGGAGGAGGAGGAAAGGCCACCACUGAGUGACUUCAGCCCAUAGUUCUUGGUGAAAUUGAUUCCAGGCCUGUGGUUAAAGCACACAAGGUAAUUUUCUAAAAUACUUGUUUUAUCAUGUUUGUGUAUGGAUAUGUAUGUGCACAUAUGUUCAGGCUCCUUCAGAGGCAGGAAGAGGGCCUUGGAUCCUCUGGAACGGAAGUGAUAGGUAGUUUUGCAUCACAUGCUUUGGAUCCCGGGACUGAACUUGGUUCCUCUGAAGCACAAGCUCUCAACUACUGAGUCACCUCUUCAGAUGCAAGGUGCUUCUUAACAACAUGGUUAUAGGUAAAUACAAAACAGAGUGAGAAAGGGAUCCAUAAUGACCUACAAAGUCACUCCCCUUAGGAUCUGCCUCUAACAGCUAGAUGCCACACGUAGAAACUCCCAGAAUAGCACCUCUGCCUGGGAGCCAAUCAAGCACUCACUGUAUGAACCUUGGGGGUACAUUUUACCUUCCAACCAUAGCAACCACAUAUGUGAAUAGGGUGUAUUCAGGAUACCCCCAAUUCAGGGUGAUGUUUACUUCUGUGCUGAAGAACUUUGGGCCACUGGUUGGGAAAAGAGCAUUAGGUUCCUGUAUUGUGCACAGUGUCGAGGUUUGUUGGUUAAUGAGUCUCUAUCAUCUUUGAAGCUUCAUAAUGUAAAUUCACAUGACAUAAAUAAUAGUUUUAACUGUCAACUUGACACAAGCUACAAUCACCUAGAAAGAGCGUGUUAACGAGGGAUCGUCUGGACCAGGUUGGCCUGCGGACACGUCUGUGGAGGAUGUCUUGAUUACAGUAAUGGUGUGGGAAGACCUAGCCAGCUUCAUGCAGCACAUUUGUGCGGCUUUGAUCCUGGACUGCGUAGGAUGAAGGAAGUGGGCCGUCAGAGUGUGUGCCUCAAUUCAUCUCUCUCUGUUCUUGACUGUGAAUGCGAUGUGACUAGCUGCUUCAGGUGUCUACAGCAUUAACCACUCUACGACGACAGGCUGUAACCAGACAUUGGAAGUUUUAAAAAAGUGCUCUCUUGUUAGUCACUUUUUAUUAGGGUAUCUUAUCGCAGCAAUAAGAGAAUAAACUAAACCAGUGUGUGUGUGUGUGUGUGUGUGUGUGUGUGUGUGUGUGUGUGUAUACACACACAUUUAUAUAAACAUAUAUGCAUGCACACAUACAUUAAUAUAUUUGAUAUAUACAUGUUAUCUAUACAUAUAUAUUAAAACAUUUUUAUUUGGGGAGAGUAUGUUAUAUGUGUGUGGUGCGUCAUGUGAGCGUGUGCCUCUGCUCGAAUUUACAGAAGCCAGCAGGAUGUUGGGCGUCCUCUGUCUCUGCCUUAUGACCUGCAGGGUGGUAAGGGUCUCUCUCACUGUUCUGGCGAGACUGGCUGGCUCCUAGGAUCUACUUGUUUCCUGCCUGGUUCUUUAUGCCUGGGAUUUAAACUUGGGGUCCCCAUGCUUGCAGAGCAAGUGCCCCUGCCCACUGAGCCAUCUCUCCAGUUCCCAAACAAGCAUUUUAAGAUAACUUUUACUCUUUAUGUGUUUGUUUUGAAAUGUCCGAUGUGUUUGAAGGUGAAAAUACGCACACAUGUGGGUACCCAGCAAAGCCGGAGAAGAACUUUGGAUAGUGUUUUAGAGAUGGGGUUACCGGCAUUUGUGGAUGACUUGAUGUGGGUGCUGGGAUCUGAACUAUGGCCCACAUGCCUCCUCUUAACCACUGGGCCAUUCUCCAGCUCUUAAGAUAAAUUUUAAAGACCAAGUUCUAUGAUGCUACAACUCCCUGUGUGGACUGCUCUCUCUCUCUCUGCUGAGCUGACCUUCAUUUCCUGGCUUCUCUCAGGAUUGCGAAUCUGCAAUUAUUCUGUGGGUUUGAAAUAGAGAGUGUUUUUCCUAGUCAAGCAUUUGCCUUUAGGACUCGUCAGAUGGCCGGCUCUUUCUCAGUUACGUUUCCUUUCCGUAUUCAUGAUGUUCCCCACUUUUUCAUGAAAGCAAUUCUCAGGAACUCUAGCCACUUGGCUUGGCUAGCAAGCCAGCUCCACUUCCUCUAACUAAUUAGAGCCUAAGUGCUCUCAACCCUCUCCACUUUAUAGCUGCAGGGCAACAUGGCGGUCAGCUUCCUGUGCUGUGUUAGACUGCCUGAGGAGGUCACUUUAAAUUGGGAAUGGUUUCUUUGGGCUCACGGUUUCACAGGCUAAAGUUCAUGGUUGCUUGCUCUCACUGUCUUGAAGCCAGUCCAAGUCAGGGAAUCGUGGGGGAAGCAUACUGUAUAGAGAAAAAAUUUCACUUUAUGGCAGCUGAGAAGGAGAAGAGAAAGGGAGGCACUGAGACCCCGGUAUCCCCUUCAAAAGCCCACAAUGAUCUAAACUCAUUUUACUAUACCCUUCUCCUCACGGUUCCUCUACCUCUCCACUGAACAGACCAGUGACCGUAUGGCCAUAUGGCCUCUGGGGGACAAUGAAAACACAAAUCAAAAUGAACAGCUAUGCAGAUGGGCUUUCUAGGAAUCUUCACAUGAUUCCUGUGAAGAGUGAAUGGGUAGUACCCAACAGAGAGGCUGGUCCGCACUGAGCAGCAUUCCAGAACAGGACUCUCGUUCUACUCCAAAAAUGACCUCUGUGUGUGUGUGUGUGUGUGUGUGUGUGUACGCACAUUCAUACAUUCCUGCAUGGGCAUGUGUUUGUAUAGAUGAGUGUGAUUGUGGAGGGCAGAGGUCGACGUCAAGUGUCUUUCAAGUGUCCUUCUCUGUAACUUUCAAUCUGUUUUAGAGACACCGGUCUCUCAGAAAACCCAGAGUUCACAGGUUGGGCAAGAUUGCUUGGCGAGCAAGCUCGGCAGCUACCUCUGUCUUUACCUCCCACAUCUGACUUUUAAAUGGAUACUGAAGACCUCCUGCUUGCAGGGCAAGCACCUUACCAAGUGAGCAGUGCACACUGUCCCUUUGCCUACUCGUGUAAUCAGGUUCGUUAGAACACAAACACAUUUGUUUGUUCAUGUAUCACCUGUGGCUACGUUACUGCUGCAGUCGUGCAAAUCCAUUUCCCACCUGGCCUCUAGAGGCUCAGCUUGCUAACCUCCGAACCUCUUUCCAGAUGUAGGCAGUGGGGGUGGGGGGCAGGCAUUAUCAGAAUUGUCAGUUGACAAGACUCAAGGAAUGGCCUGGGCUUGUAGCUAUUGCCUUGGCUUUCAACUGAUCUUAUACUUGAGCGUGUGGUGAGGUCUUAUUAGCCCAUCACUGGGUCACUCUCAAAGACGAUCUCUGCUCAUCUGGUAAGGAUCUGGUUUGAGCAUCUCAAACUGAAAAGCAGAGUCUGGGGCAGUAGAGUUUCAAUCAGUAUCUGAGCCACCUGGAACUACCAGAAGCCUAAAGCUGGGCAUCCCUCCCAGAAUGGUGUGCUUCACACACAGGUGCUGAGUAGAAACAGCAGCUGUAAAAGUCCACGUUUUAUGGCUUUUGAUGUGGUCUUCCCAACUUUUGAGAAUUUCUGCUUUAGGAAGAGGUUCUUUUGGAAUGCCUCAUGAACAAGCCUCCAGGAGCUUUGAAGCCCUUGGCACACGGGUUACAGAGCAGAAUGAUGGCAUAGGAUCCCCGGAAGGGCUGAGGCUUCCAGGUGAUUACAGCACACAGUGGAAGUUACAGGAGCAUGUUGGCCAGCACCCUGCGAGGAGUUAGCCAGUGACAUGGGAGGAGUCUCUGGAUCUUUUUUGGGUUCAAUGCUGUGCCAUUUACACUGUUGGAAACUUAGGAUACAAAUUUGGCCUGGAAGACAGUGUAAAAUCUGUGGUGUUAGCAGCAUUUUCUGUUUAUAGUAAAUGGUUUAUGGUUUUACCCUGUGGCCAAAGACCAAAGAGGUCAUUUGCUUGAGAGCCUGUAGUGUUUUAGAAGAGCAAACUGAAACGAUGCAAGCUCUUUGUCUUCCUUCCACAAACUUCUGUAAUGGUUAAUUUUCAUUGUCAACCUGACUGGAUUUGGAAUCAAGUAGGAGGCAAACCUGCAGUGUGGCCAGGGAAGGGUAACUGAGGAGGGAGCCCCACCCUGAAGGCUAACUGGCACAGUGAAUAGAAAGGGAAAAGGGAAAGGCUAAGACUAACUCAUCACUCUGCAUCCCGACUGAGGACACUGUGUGCCCAAGUUGCCUCAAGCUCCUGUUGCCUCAGAGAGAGCUCUCUUUUGCUGGAGCAUCUUCCUCACCAUGACAGACAACAGCCUCAAACUGUGAUCCAGAAUCAAACCUUCCUUUUCUAAGUCUCUUUCGUGGGGAACAUGGUCACAGCAGCGAAUCAAAUGAUUAAUAUUUCACCCAAGGCAGCAUAGCCAGUUUCAAGAUUUACAGGGUUUCUUCUCUUGUAUCCAGCUAAGACUUUCUCUUAAUCAAGAAUAUUUCCCUUUCUCUCUCUGACUUCUACUCCAGAAAUUCCUGUGUCAAAAAAGACAGAGUCAUUUUGUUCUCUGUUGUGUCCUCAGAGCUGAACACUGGGCUUAGUAUUUGCUGCAUGAGGCUCCUUUAGUGUUAUGUCCAUGGUUGGCUCCUGACUUCUCUCUCAUUAGCACAGUGGCAGGCAAGGACAGAGCACACACAGGCAUAGGAAACACAGGAAUGAGUGAGGGCCAGGCCCCUGGGGGGCAGCUGCCAACUGCCCUGUGAUAGGCCCAUGUUGUAAAAAAAAAUGCAGACCAUCUAGAUUUUAUGUGAUUUAAAAUUCUGGCAACUGAACUAAACUUUUAAAAACAGCCCUUUGAGAGGCCAAACAAAACACAUAACACAUCUGUGCACUGGAUCCAGCCCGGGGGCUGCCAGUGUGCAACCUCUGCUGAGAUCCAGAUGGAUGGAAUCUAAGGCCGUCCUCUGAUCUACCAGCCCACUUACCCUAUCAAAGGAGGAACAGGGUUAGAUGUGGUUUGGAUUAUCAAUGUUUCCUAAGAAGAGAUGGUUCUUUGAACCCGAAUUUGAUGCUGAACUUCAAGGCUGGCCCCAGGACGGAGGAAACUCAGCUAGCCUGUCAUCCAAUGAACAUCCCUUUGUACCUGGUGGUGCCAAGAAUAGGGCAGCCCUUUGGGCAGUGGCUAGAGAUCAAAGAUUUAAACUCUGCUGCCCCCACACCCAGUCCCCAGCCAGCCCCUGCCUCCUACUCAGCCCCCACUUGGGGCCCAGCUCCAAUCUGGAUUCUAUCCAUCCCACUGGCAGCACACCUCACAGCACCUCUACACCGGCUGCCUCCCUGGCUCCCUGGAAACCUGACCACCCUCAAGGACACCAAAGGUACCAUCCUCUCUGGUACAGUUUUAUCAGAGGGUUUUUUUUUUUUAAACCAAUCCUCAAUGCCUACCCACAGCAGCCCCGAAGGUCGGCCUAGUGGCCAGGGUGCUCACUGUCUAUACCAACCACUUUUUGUUUGUUUGUUUUGCUUGCUUGCUUUAUUUUGUGAUCCUUUAGUACUUAUUUACCAGCUCACUACCUGAACACAUGUUUUUUCCCACAAUGCAUUUCAGAGCACAUUGCAAAGAAAGAGCAUUUUCCCACAAUGCAUUUCAGAACACACUGUAAGGAGACAUUCUGUUUAACAUGCCUAUUAUUAACAUUUGAGACCCAUUACUUUUUUUUCUUUUAGGAUAAAAUUUGUCUCCAACAAAACACAAAUCUUAAGUAAACAGUUGCAGAGCUUGGGGAGGGGGUGUGCAUACUUGUGGGUAAAGCAAAUUCAUGUCAAACUAGAACACUGCUAUCAUCUGCAAUAGUUUGCUAAGGCCCUUUCCCAGUUGCCGUCUCUACCUCCCCUAAAAAAGCCAGCACAGUUCUCUGAGUUUUGCCGGUUCCAGAAGCUUAUCUAGGUAAAACCCUGCAGACCCACUGAUCUGAUACAUACACAGUAUUUGUGGGCUAUUGGAAUUAUUGCCAAGGAUAGGCUAGUCCCUUAAAUAUCUCUAUUUUUUUAAUCUGGGCUGUUUUUAGAGGUCAUUUUGAUUGUUUUUACUAGAUGGUCGUGUGUGUGUGUGUGUGUGUGUGUGAGUGUGUGUAUACAUUGAACAUUCUUGUGUAGCUAUUUUAUUUUCCUUACUUCUCUGUGAAUAUUUAGGUAUGAAAUUGCAAGAUCCUUGGGUAAAUAGAUGUCUGUUUCACUGAACUUUGAUUGCUGUAUGGAUAUUGUGGUGGUUCAUUGCUUUGUUAACACCACCACUUUAGAGCCUGAGGCAGGAGGGUUGAGUUCAAAGCCAGCCUGGGCUACAGAGUGGGACUCUGUUUCAAAAAAAGAUAUUAGCAGUCACAAUUGAGUUCUGCUUAGCCAGACUUGGCUGGAUAGAUAUAUCCAGAGAAUGGAUGCCAAACAUUUCCCUCCAUGAGUUUGCAGUCCAGUGGAGUAGUGACCAUAAAAGUGAGACCAGCUGGACAUGGAGCUAUCAUCCACUAGGAGGGAGAUGGAUGGGAGGAGUACCCUGUGUUCCAAGCGGGGAGGGGGCCAUCUGAGCACUGGCAAGGCCUUUUCGCUGGAUGAAAGCCUUGAAUCCCACCUGAGAACAUGUUGGGAAGGGAGAAAACGCAAUAGGUUUAAACAGAUAUGAGAAUGCUCAGACACGGGGCAGAGCUAGAUCCUCCACACAGACUAGAAGACUAAGACAGGUCACAGCCUGGCCCUGGAGGGCCAGAGAGGACCAGGGUACAACUGGACUGCUGGAAGCUCAGGACCUGUCUCUGGAUCAGGCCCAACACCUCCAUUUUCACAGACUCUCCUCUUUCCUCUUCUAGGGCACAGUCAGAACAAUACUGCAAAACCUCCCUGUACACACAGCUACAGAAUUUUUAAGUGCCUUUAAAUUCCUUGCCGCAGAAAACUGAAACUGUCACCUUCACAGCUGCUCUAGGGACAUUUCAUCUUUAUGGCCUAGUUGCUCGGCUCAGUGGCUGUGUCACAGAGCUGUGUGCCGAGUGGGGGAUGAUUACAGUGAUUCUCGCAACAUUAAGACUUACCUGGCCUGUGCUCUUGCACCUCUGAAAGUCAGAAAAGCAACGUUUUGAUGAAGGUGGUUAAAUUAUAACAAGGUGAUGACUGAAUUUUACCAUCAGCAACUUAGUCCAUGCAGAAACCUGCCUGGACGCACGGUGUUAUGGGACUUCCCUGUGACAAGAUAAGAUUUCCCUUCAUACUUCUUGCAGCUUUCCUUGGUAAGACCAAACCAUCUCUGCACAAAAGCAAAUGUCUCCAUUCUUUAUAACAUGUAUCUUUUCCAGACUUAGCAAAUGAACUCCCUCCACUAAGCGAUUCUGGUCUCUGACUCAGAAUCCUGUAAAGAUACUCAGAUGGCCUCAGGGAAGAAAAAAAAUCUGUCAACCAUUCUUGCAACACAUUUGGAUUGCCAAGUUCCUGAAUUAGCCCUUUGAUGUGAUUUUCCAGGUCAUAUAACGACACAGAACACACUAAAAAAAAAAAAGAAAUGGAGGUUCUCAGUGCGGACACCCUAUGCUCUUACAGACCUUUGUCAUGAUCUGUUUUUCUUUAGCAGACAUAGCUUACAGGAAGGUCUCUGAUAGGUCUGUGGCCUAGUUAUUCAUGGAGGAUAACGAGAAAGGAAUUGCCUGCAUUUCCCAGGUUGGCUGGCCUUUCUGGUUGCAGUUAGAGGCAUAUGGAAUUAUGGGAACCUAGCUGUUUCAUGUACUCCUACCCCAAUAGGCUUGGCAUUUCCAGUUUGAGUGCUAAAAGUUGUGUGUCCCAGAAUCCUUCUAGCCAUGGACAAACAGAGAUGGCUGGUCACCCUAUCAGUAGCAGUUACCUGGUGAGUAUCUCUUUCUAAAUAAAAUUUGGUUUUCUAAAGUCAAAAGAAGAAAUUUUAGAGGUUUUUGCUAAUAUUCUUUCCCUGGAGAAAACAUAAUCAACCUUUCUCCUAGUGUCCCAGUGACAAAUGGGGGCACCUUACAGCCAAAGUUCAUUCUGGGGAUUGACUAAAGUUGUUGGACUUCCUCAUAGAACUUAGGUAAGGGCUUACUUCCAGGGGUGUGAGUGUUCCUCCUCCACAGUGGGCUGUACCUGGAAAGUCUUUACCUAGUAGGGAAUAGAGCUUUGCUGUAGCCAUUUAGAUAGAGCCUCCACUCUAGUGUCCCCAGUUUAUAUACUCUACCCCCACCCCCAGACCAUGGGCAAUUAAGGUGUGAUUAGGUACUUGGGUGCCCCUCUUUGUCCUUCUAUGUAGGGGUGUAAAUUAUCAACAAUCCGGUUGGGAUGAUUUUUUGCAUGGGGACAUGGCUGAAUGCCCUAGGAUGGCAGUAUGGCAGUUGCUUGGUUCAGAGGACAGUCACUCCCAACGGAAGUGUUUGUUGGAAGUGUUGAAAGGCACCAGCCAAAAUUCUGAACCACCUUGCCAGUCAGCAGGAGCUGCCAAGUAGAGUUCUGAAAAACAAAACAAAACAAAACAAAACAAACAAACAAAAAGACCCCAACAACAACAGGAAAAAAAUGAGGCUCUAAUGAGACUGUCGGUGACAGGUUUCCUUGCAUUGUGGCCGAUUUGGGGGGAGGGGAUUAAGACCAUUGGUUUUAGCAGCAGGCAUCGCUUCUGGAUCGGUAUCCACGGUCCUUAAUGAGACAAUACAUCUUCCACAGCUGUUCUGCUUGAGGAUUUCAGAGAGAGCGGAUGAUAUAGAGUCAGCAAAGCCCGGCUCUGACCUGGAGGUCGGAGGUCAGGUCGCUGCGAGCCUUUGGACGGUUUGGCUCUGCGUCUCUCCCACUUAGAAGAAAGAGGCCAUGGCGUUGGGAGUGAUUUGUUGGACCCUGCAGGGUCAAAAGGAGCUGCCUCGGUGAAGCAGCCUUCCUUUCCUGAUGGCUCUUCUCUUACCAGCCUUUUUGUCACCUCGGGAUCAGAGGAUUCAAGGUUCAUUCCUCCAAGGAAGCUGUUACACCCUCCAAAUAUGUGAGGCUGCUCCUCAGGGAGAGGUCCCAGAAGCUGUCACAGGUGGGGCUCAGCGUGAUCCGGUCUUGGGCCACGGUCUUUCCGAGUUCCAUAGAAUUGGCUGGGGUGGGGCAGGGAGGAAUCCCAUUGUUCUCUAGUUAGUGUAACAGUCUGAAGUCUGAAUCAGAUCUCAUAUUCUAAACACCCCUGUGCCAGAUGCAGGAUUCUGGACACUUUCCCACUGUCUUCCCUUGCCUGAUACUGUGACAAUUACUAUGAACAAUAUCAGUGAUUGUCCCUUUGGGACAUAUGACUGAUCUCAGUGCCCACAACCCAGACAGUUGUGGGCACUGACUCUACUACCCAUGCCAGCCAAGACACACAAGGUGUUCUUCAUUACAGCCUGGACAGGGGGCCUGAGUUACAAGGAAAUAAUUCAAUCUAGCAGGCUUAGGGGACAUUGCCAACCCAGAGAACAAUUUAUGAGGUCAUCCAGCCUGGCUGUGGAAUGAAUCCCAUAAGACGGUAACUCACCACAGAUCACCUUGUUUAAUUUUAUUUUUCCUAGGAAUGGGGUCUUCCUGCCAUCAUUUAUGACCCAGACAAUAUAAAAACAUUUCAAGCAUUAUGCCAAAACUCCUCUAUGUUUGAAAUGCAAAGAGUUUUACCAAUGGUAUGUGGGUCUUGCCUCCAUUGUCCUUGUCACAAGUUAGUUUAUUCUAUAAAGUUUGAGCAUGUUUACUAUUAUUGCAACCCAGGAAGAAAAGUAGAAUUUGGGCCAGAGUAGGUAAGCUACAAUUUUCUGAGGAACACACUCUUUGUAGCUCAAAACUCCAGUUUUAGGACCACACUCUUGUAAUAAUUUCAGGUUUUUAAAUUAUUCCUGUGAAAUAAGGAGAAAUGGGGGAUGGUGGCUUAGGGCUUCUGCUUUCCCAAUGCCUUCCUGAUCUAUAAAGUAGGACCUGGAAUAUAAAGCAAUUGAUGCUCCUUCCCCGAGAAGCAAACUUCUGAGAGGCGAUGUGGGACAGGCCACAGGCUGAACUGGGCUCACAGGGGCAGGGAGGCUAUGGAGACUUAGAGCCGAGGAGAUGGGACAGUGGGUCAAAGCACUAACCAUGAAAGCAUGUAGAUGAGUUCUAAUCUCCAGACCCAGAUAAAAGCUAAGUGAGGGGCUGGAGCAAUGGCCGCAGAGCAGGAACUCAGUUCAGUUCCCAGCUCGCAACUGCCUGGAACUGCAGUUCCAGAAGAACUGACGCCCUCUUCUGUCCCGCACUCAUAGACAUGCAUGAAUAAAAAUACUGUCUUUUUAAAAACCAGCCAAGCAAGUAAUGCCAGCAUCUGUGAUCCCAGGCAGAAACAGAUAUAAAAGGCAGUAACAAGAAACUGUGCAGAAGUUCUGGGCAGAGCUAGUCUGGUAUCUCCAGCAGAAAAGACAAUGAGGUCUUGUCCUUAACAAGAUGAAGCCUGACCCCUGACCUCCAGACAUAUUCCAUGUCCUGUGUUCCUGAAUUCACACAAACACAGACGCAUGGAUGAGCGUGCACUCUAUGCGCACGCGCACACAUACACACACACACACACACAGACACACACACACAUGCACACACACAGACACAGCACACACACACAGACAGACACAGACACACACACAUGCACAGACACAGACACACACACAGACACGCACACACACGCACACACACAGACACACACACACACACAGACACACACACACACACAGACACUGAGGGUCAUAAAUACAUAGUUACUAUGGUCAAGCAUCAUACAACAUCACUUAAACUGGCCCUCAAUAUAGAAAAAGUGGGAACACAGUCAUCUGAGUUGCCUUGAUUUUUGGUUUGCCUCCUUUUAUGAAGACUAGAGAAGAAAUCACUUCUGUGGCCAAUUGUCUGUAAAAAUGGGUCUAGCCUGAGAGGUUCUCACGGCUCACUUGUCCAGGUGCUCACCCCUGGAGGAUUUCCCCAGUUCCCUGCCUCUGCCUCACACCUGAGGUCUGUGCCACAUGCACUUGUAAGGAGGCCAAGGCACAUGAAACUUGAGAAUGGAACUGCAAGGGGUCGUGGGAAGAAGUCCUUGCUGCUGACAAGAACCUGGUGGGUAGCUUAAGGUUUGUGUGUGUUGACGACUCCAGCAGUUAGGUCAGAAUUGUGCAGAAAACAUGAAAGCAGUCCUGGUUACCCACCGUUAUAUAACAAACCACCAGAGCUGCUGUGGCAGGAACAACAAUGGUUAUGAUAUUCCUCACAGUCCGGGUUGACUGAGCUCAGCAGGGUGGUGUUCCUUCUCCUUGUGAUAUUUACUGGGCCUGAGAUUGUUAGAGGAGUUCUGGGGCUAGAACACCCAUAUCACCAGCCACUGACGCUGAGUUUGGACCACAGCUGAGGCUGAUGAAUAAGUCACACCUGUGACUCAGGCGCCACACAGAAUGGUGCUAAGGCACUCAAAACAGGUCAUGGCCCCAUAGAGAAACAAGAGGCUAGACCCAGAAAAUCUGGAACUGGGAGCUUUCAUAUUAGACAGGAUAUCCCACAUAAAACCCAAUUCUGUGGCUCCCAGAGCUCUUGCCAGGUAUCCUUAGGUAAGCUUACUUCCAAUGAAAUUUCCAUCCCCCAUUCAUAACUCUUCUCGUGUAGCAAAAACUAUUCUCAGAAAGUAAUUAGGACAGAGCUAAAAGCAGGGGCCCACCCAGAACAAAGCAUAGCUUAGUGUUGAAGUGAAAGGGAUGCCCACCUCAGGGCACCCCCAUGGAUAUCACCCAUCACAGGCUGGGUGUCCCGGUGCUCAAUAGUAUUUGCCCUCUCCAGAGGGCCUUGGGGAAGAUGCUGUGAGAGUUGCUAGUUGCCAAGUUCCUGUGUCCAUGAGCCCCUUCUACCUCUCUGGCAAUGCUAGAGCAGGUACCACCUCUGGAUGGCUAGGGGAAGGGUUCCAGGCGGGAGCAAAACCAUUGUUCUAAACAAUUAGAUCCACAUUGCCAUAGUGUGCCCUAGAAAAGCUCCUCCUCCUUACAGUCUGGAUGUCUAGUGAACCAGAAUACCAGGACACUGUUGUAGUUACAUACCAGAGGAACAAUUCUACACAAUUCCAACUUGGUGUACCAAUUAAAUUAUUGGUGGCAUCCACAGGAUCAUGAGUUGGGAAGCAUGGGUGAUUCUCAGGCAUCUGCAUUCACCAAAAGCUCACCUUGCAUGAAUGAGAGGUCUGUCCUCGGGGAUUCCUGCCCGAGUUGGAGCAGCCUCCAACAAAGAGUGUCCAGAAAUUAUUUUCUGUUUAAACAACCUCAAAGAUGGACCUGUGCAUUUUAUAAUUCCUGUGAACUUUCUGAACCAUGUAACUGUGUGUGUUUCUAUGUUCUGCAUACCUAUUUGUAUGUUUGUGGGGCAGCAAGAUUGAUAUCUUUCUUCAUUUGCUUUAUGGUCAAUUCUUUACAUUGAUGGUUGGUUGGUUGGUUAUAUAGGGUCACUCACUGACUCUGGUCCGUGAACUUCCAGGAUCUUCCUUUUGCACACACCUCCCAAGGCUGGCAUUGCAGACAUAUAUGUACCGCAUUCCCAGCUUUUUACCCAUGUUGUGAGAAUUAGAACUCAGAUGCUCAUGCUUAUGCACCAGGCACUUCAGCUAUCUCCCCACACCCCUCAAGAUUUUGUUAGUUUCCUAAGUUUUCUGAGCUACUUCCAAGUAAAAAGGUCCAAUCUGGAAGAGACAGCUAUACAAUAAGUCUUUACCAGUAUAUCUGUUAGAAGAGAAUGGCAUCAGGACUGUGGUGGAAGAACUGUCUGGUUCUUCUAAAGGAGUCAGACUCCCUUCACUCUCCCCUUCCACUUUCAUUAAAGUAAAAAGGAGAGGAAGAGGAAAAAUCGCUAAUGUGACUGGUUGAUGGGGAUAGUCACUGUGAGCGAUGUAUAACAGUAGAUGUGUAUGGGAUGUCAUAAUAAAACCAAUUAAUUUGUGUACUAACUAAAAAAAGAAAGAAAAAAGAAGAGCAAUAAAAACCAUGGGCCACGGCCUCUGGCGCUGGUCCUGAUGGGCUGUCCUCCUGCCUGCUCCAGCCACUCACUGCAGAUUUGGUCAUCCCACCCUCUCCUGCUGUCCUCUUCCUACCAGUCCAAUCCCUUCUCAUGUCCCUGCGUGAGCGCCUCUCUCCAGCCCACCCCUUACAUUCUAGUGCUCACCAAGACUUUUGCUCUUCUUGCGUCUGAAAUUAUCUAUAACAGUGGUUCUCAACCUUCCUAAUGCUGUGAGCCUUUAAAAGAGUGCCUCAGGUUGUGGUGAUCCCAAACAGUAAAAUUAUUUCAUUACUUCUUUGUAACUGUAACUUUGCCACUGAUAUGAAUCAUAAUGUAAAUAUCUGAUACACAGAAUAGCUCAUAUACGAUGCCUCCCCACAAGGUCGUCAGAACUACUGACCUAGAGGAUGGUUAGUAAGGCAGGAAUCACCAGCCAUCACCUAAAUGCUCACUACUUACAAUACCCUCUCUCCUGGGCAUCGCUACUCCAGCCUCUGUUACCAGAGAGACCUUAUUGAAUGUCCCCACUUGGUCAGUAUUAGGGAGUCCAGAACUAAUCCUAUUGUUACUUGCCCAGCUCUCCAAAUCAGGAGCCUGGAUGCCUGACUGUGUGGGUGUGCACACUAAGACCUGUCACCUCUGUCCUCUAAGAAGGUGGGGCAACAGUACCAUGUCCGGCUUAGACCUGACAUUUCAGAGGCUUGUUCCAGGACUUUAGGGACUAUGCACACCUUCCUAGGUCUGUGUUAGCUUUUUCCAUCUGCCCUUGCGUCUUCCGGGGGCCUUAUUCAUCCCUGUUCUUCCUCAGCUGAGCACCUAAUUAUAAUUUACACAGUAGUUGAUCAAUAUUUAUUGAUUAAUUCAUUGAUGUCUUUUGGUCAAUCAUAAGUCAUGUUUAUGAGUGCUUACUCUGUGCCACAUAUAGCACAAAACACUUUAGAUGUAUUGACUCACAGAAUUAAUUUAUUUAAUCUAUAUAACUUCCCUACUACCUUGAUUUUAUAGCUGAGGAAAGUUAAGCUUACCUUACACAUCUAGAGGCGGAGUGGGAAAGCCAAGAAUUGAAUACACUGGUAAUCUGAUCCCAACCUUCCAACUCCACUCUGAUUUUAUUUAUUUUUUAUUAUGUGCAUGUGAGUACAGGUGCCUGCAGAGGCCAGAAGAGUUGAAGUUACCGACAAUUGAGCUGCCUGAAAAGGGUGCCAGGAGUUGUACCCCACAUCCCCAUUUUUUUUCUUUUUGAUUUUUCAAGACAGGAUUUCUCUGUGUAACAGUUCCUGGCUGGCCUGGAACUCACUUUGUAGACCAGGCUGGUCUUGAACUCGUAUUCCUAGAGAUCCUCCUUGCUCUGCCUCUCAAGUGCAAUUAUGGGCAGGUGCUACUAUGCACGUCUCAGACCCCCAACUCUUAGCAACAUUCAGAGCUGCUUCUUUGGUGGUGAAUGGAGAAGAAUCAAGCCAACAGUUGGACAGGUUGGAGGUAUGGUGAUAUGGAGGUCCACGCUGAGAAAACCUCAGUGUUCACAAGGAUUUUACCCCUCAGAGGAAAAACAAGCAAAAUGGAUUCCUACAGCAUCUUGGUUACAGGUGGCCAAGGUAAGCAUUAUGUUAAGAAAAGCAGGCAUAGAGGGUAGAUUGUCUUUUCAGUACUACAUUUGUGAUUAUUGGCUUAAGUCUUCCCACAGCUUCAUUAACAUUGUAGCUGUAGGUGAGCUAAUCAUAAAGGACUACAGUGUAUUAGAUUGGGCAGCUGUGGAAGCCCCUGACCUCUCCUUUUUCUACUCUCAGAGAUUCAGAAUGAGGCUCUCUCUGGAGGUUACUUAAGCUCUUAAGUCACAUUGAGUUGAUGAAGCAGACUUUAUUCUUUGCUCUGUGCUCAAGAAUGAGGUAUGGCCAGUGGCUGAGGAUCCUUCUGGAAAAUGACUUUAUGUGGGAGGUUUAGGGAAGGCUCAAGAGGAAAAGGGAGAUUUUAAGAACAACAAAACUGUUCAUUCCUGAAGCUGGUGAGAAGACAGACUCAUCUAUUGUCAUCAGUGCCCUCCUCCAGAGUAGCACAUUUCCUCAUUCUUCUCCAAGGCAGGCACUUUAGUUUGCAAUCCAAAUUUCUGAUUCUAUCUAUUGUCUGUCUACUCCUCACCCAAGCAACCAAGGCUCUUCCUUUGUCUGAACCCCCCUGAGUAAAGUUUGCAAGGAAAAAAAACCAAGAUGGUCUCUGUGUCUACCCCUCUCCAUUAUGAAUUCAAACUUCUCUUCUAUCAAACCUCUCAGGAUAACAAAGGCAGAGGAAUUGCCUCGAAUUUUCUGAUGUGAGAGACCUGGGUGGAGGACAUUGCUACUGCCUUGCCUUAUUAUUGUUCUAGCGGAGGGAAGGAGGUUAUUUAAAAUAUGCUGUUUUAAGAUCCCUGGAAAUGUUAUCCUUUUUUGCUCUAGGUAGUUUUAUGAAUCAUUCAGGAUACUUCUGCAGUUCACAAGAGGCUUGACACCGAAGACUGAAAGGAUUAAACACAACCAAGCAAAGCAGUGCAGUCCUGACAAACUUAAAAGCUGUCUGUGACAUUUGGGAGAAUGGUAUUCAAUUAUUUAAGCUUCCCUGUCAACUACCUUGAGAGUAAGGACUAGCACAUGAUUAAAAAGUGCCUUACCUCCCCAGGAAGUGUGGCAGGUAGCCAAGAGACUGCUAUCUGUUGGGUUGCAACCCUAAGCAGUGUUUGUCUUCUCAAAUGACUACUCCACCUAGGGGGGCAGUCAUAGUGGUACAAUGUAAACCAGUGUACUCUUCUGGUCCAGGGUGGGCCAGCCAGGUAGCAGCUUCCCUAAGACUCAAGAAUGAAGUCAGAAGAGAAAGAUGGUGUUUCCUCAGGUGUCUGUGUACUGGGAUUCUGUGCUGGCUGUGCUUUCCCAUGUGUGUACAUAGGAAGCAGGAGCUGGUUUAGGGAGACUGUAGGGGGACCGAGAGAGGCGGUGAGCUUCCUAGUUUCCACCCAACCUUCUACUUCCUGGCUCCAGUUGGCACUGGAUUUCUGCACUUAGGUUCUGUGAAACAACCUCUGGCUUUGUACCAAAUCUCCCAUGCCUGGUUUUAUUUGCCUUUCCUAACUGUAGUGGGAAGAAUCCUCUCAAGUGUUUGAUAAAACCAUUGGAGACUUCCACUGAAUUUUAGUGACUGUGGAAGAGAAGUUUAGAGCUUCAGUGUUCUGGGUGUGUGUGUCAUCAUUUUAUGCAUAUGAAAAUGAGAUGCAGAAGGUUCAUUCAAUGUCUGAAACCAGGUCUCUAGAGUAGGUCAAUAAACUGUUGUUCUUCCUCUAAUAUCCAUUAAUGGGCUGAAACGCUAUAUUUAUUUUUAUGUGUGCACACUUAUGAUUGCUUAUGUAUUGCUCUCUAUGUAUUUAUUAUGGUGUAUGAGUGUGCACACAUCUGUUAGUGCAUGAGAAGAGAUUAGAGGACAGCCUUCAGGAGUCAGUUCUCGCCUUCUACCUGGUGGUUCUGAGGAUUGAACUCGUGUCACCAGACUUGUGUCAGGUGCCCUUUACCUCUAGGCUAUCUGCUCGGGCCCCAUGCUCACAUUCUCAACAGUUCUACUCGCUCCUCCAUCUUCUUAGCGCCAGGUUUGAGAAGGAAAGCUGAAGGCUGACAAUGUUACAUGACUUCAACAAGGUUACAUGUUAAGACAAUUAGUUUCUUCUCUUAGGCGAGAGGCUAUAUCCAAGCAGGCCAGACUUCUCUGUCCAGGUCGUCAUACACACAGUCAGGGAGGAAUCCUCUUGAGGCAGGCAUACCCAUUAUUUAUCCAGUCAACAUUUUCUGAGUGCUUACUAUGUUAAAUAUCCAACUUUCUAUAUUGAGUACUUAUUGGAUUACAUAUCGUUUCAGGCAGAAGACUGAAAAGGUUUGAACACUGAUGAGGUUAAAGAGUGUUCACUCUAAUGAACGUGCAUGGGGGUAAAUGGAAGCCGUUUAUGUGAGAUAAGAUGCAUGUCUAGAAAUGUAGGUGUGAUGGCACACGCCUAGAAUUUCAGCAUGUACAAGGCUCGAAGAGGAGGUUCAUGAGCUCAGGGCCAACCUGGAAAAGGAAAGAUACAGAGCAGGCUCUGGGCAGCUACCGUCCUCACCUCAUCAGGAUUUAAACACAGUACAUAGGUCUGCACCCUUCCCAAAGUCACCAAGGCAUCCUGGGAGCCUCUGGGUAAUAAGUAAGUCAGUCUUUUCUUUGUCUCUCCUUCCCUUCCUCCCCUGACCCUGUGUGUGUGAGUGUGUGUGUGUGUGUGUGUGUGUGUGUGUGUGUGCGUGUGUGUGUGAGUGUGUGUGUGCGCGUGUGUGUGUGACAGAAGCAUGCCACCCCACUGACUUUUCCAUGGGUGCUGGUAACCAGAACUUGGAUCUUUACACCUGCAUGGCAGGCAUUUUACUGAACAAGCCAACCCCUAGGCCCAAGGUUAAAAUUUUCAGACAUCUACUCUCACUCCAUGAUGUACAACAUUGGUUGAAACCUUAAGUGGGGAAGAGGAUCAUAACUGGGAAUGCGUACUGGGGAGAAGGAUGCCAGACAGCUUCUUAGAGGGUCGCCCCAGGAAAGCAGAGGAAUGUCGGUCAUGGCUGAUGGGCGGUGUCUCACCAUUGAUCUUUGGCAAGUGGUAAUGGAAAAGACAGUCAGGGUUCCAGGGCGCGCUAUUAUAUUUCCAAUUAAAAUGUGAAAACAAACCUUUUUCAUGAAGCACAUUGGCCUCGGCCCUAGGAAGUGACUACAAAGCUCUCUGCUGAUUGAGACAAGCUGAGAGCAGACGCUGUAACUGAUAGAGGAGAUAAGUCAAUCUGUGUCCUUUAAGGAAUAAUGAGUUCCAUUUUUCAUCAAAAAGAUCUCCUUGUGCUGAAGAAACAUUCUUUCAAUAAAUCUACUUAAUGGUCUCCCUGCUAAUGAUAUAUAACACUGGGCUGUGGAGCUGAGCCACUGCACCGGGCCUUGCCAGGGAUGCAGGCCGCCCAUCAUUUGCAUUGGUAAUUCAACAGGGGAAAAAGGAAAAGAGACAGGCAGAGAAGGCAGAAGCUGUGCAGAAGUAUUACUGUUCCAGUAAUCCUUCCGGGCAGUUCUAGAAGGUAGAGGUGCAGGAUUUUGGAUGAAGAACCAACAUUUAUGCAAAUGUCCAAUCUCCCACCAUCUCUGCUGCUCUGUGGGUUUAGAAAUGAUUCAGCUUGUCAGACAGCCCUGGUUAAAUGCUUUGGAUACCUGAGUGGUGAGAACUAAGGACAUUUGUGUCCCUUGAGCUUGCCACCUUCCCAGAGACCUGCCCAGCUCAGUGUUGCUGUAGAAGACUGUGGUGUUUACUGUGCAUGGCUUCCGCCCCUCUGCAGGAAGUGGGCUUUCACUUCAUCCAAGUGCCUAAGCAAGGGACCACAUGCUGCCAAGGGAAUGAGUUAGGGGCCCCUGUGUCUGUGAUUGCGCAGGACCGUGCCCAGACAAACACCCCUGAGAUCCCCAAACUCUACAAACGUGUUGUUCUUUUCACUAGGACCCAGCCUUAUGUAACCAAGCUUACUUCCUCCAAGGGCACCCAGCCCUCCUAAUACCACCGGACUUCCCCACAUGGGAGUCAUUAACCCUGGAGUUAUUUCCUUAAGGCGCUGCUUGUUUAUUCUCCAGUCGCAUGUGAGUCAGCCAGAUCGAGAUGUGUAGUGGUUUUGCUUGUGAAAUCUUACAUAAUUCUGUUCCUAUUGUCAGGUUGGGCCGAGCAGUUAGACUGUAUAGUGUUUUCUCAUUGCACAAUGUUUGCAAAUCAAUAAGGAGAAAGCCUGAACAAUGAGAUGACAGGGGCUGGCCAGACCAGGCCCUCCUCAGGCCCCAGUGGCCUGCAGGCCACCUGCAGUUUCGCAGAUACAGUCACUUUUAAUUCCGUGGCUGGGCUGGACAGUGAGGCUGGGUGGUGACCUUCCCCACAGAUUUCACAGCAGUGACACUUAAAAAGGCGGGAGGAAGGGAAUGAAAGAACAACACCUUAUACAGAAACAGACCAAAUCUUUACUGCAUUUGCCCCACGCUGGAUUCCAACAUGCUGGUCCAGAGCGCGGUUGGCUAGAAGCUUCUCCCACAGGCUUUCCAUUCCCCACCAUGUACAGUAUCUAUUUGAUCCUACUCGAUCCUACUCACUGUCCCGAGUCCAGAGGCAUUUACUAAAGACACUCGAUGCAAACAGUGAGUGGUUACAACACACAGAUGGGGGUGGGCACAAUUUCCACGACAGAGUAGACUCUUGGAUUGAUGGUCAGAGGCAAGACGCCUCCUCGAUGGCUGAUGGCAUCCCAUAGCGCAAAACCCACAACUGUUCAGUUUUGUUUCAUUUUGUCUUUUUAAAAGUCCUGAAAUAUAUGGAAACUACUGGUUCCUAGUUAUUUAUAUUUAAAUCAGUUAUCUGACCUGAUUUAAAAGUUAUUUGCAUACAUCUUUGUGCUAUGCACCUUAAAGUAAUAUGUGUGUGUAUAUGUGUGUGUGUAUGUGUGUGUGUGUGUGUCUGUGCAAGAAGAAGGUUACAAAUAUCUGAAUAAAAAGAGAAACUGUGAGACUAUAUGAAGACAAGCAUCACAUUCCACAGCACAUCAUUGGUUAAUUUCUGAAUUGUCAAGCAUUAUUUCAAACAAGAGAGAGUAUAACACCACAAUCUCCACGACAAAGCAACUGUAAGGACAGAACCAAACCCAACUUCUGUGUGAGUCAUUUUAAAACUGCAGCCUUGUUUCUAACACUUUUCAUUAAUUGUUAUUUUUAAACUCCAGUAGUGGAUCAGAUUUCUGCUGCCUCUGGGCAAAUGAGUUAUGAUCUGAUCUCAAGUUCCAAGGGAAAUGCUCAAAGUUUUAUUUUCCCCCAGUUGAAUAAGCAGUACCAUGUACAUUGUCUCCUGGGUUAGAAUAGUGUUGUCUUCACAUCAGACUCAGAUAAUGGUAUUAGUCAUUCGUUUCCUAGAACACAGACACCCUCGUGCGUGCUGACAGCUUUAUAUGGACGCAGUGGCAGCCAUGGGUUCUGGGAGCUGCUAGAUGACCGACUUUGAUUUCUUGCAGUCCUGAGUGAUGGAGCCUGGGUUUGCCUGGUUAUUGUCCGCUUUCUCCCGCAGAUGCUUGGCUUGUCUGAAAGAUUAAUACAUUAACAAGAGCUGAGGUCUGGGCUGCACAUCUCUGGACAUGUUUAUUAGCAGACAGCACACGGGAUUCAAAGGUUACCACAAAAGUGACAUUUUAAAGUGAAACAACAAUAUUUAUGCUCAGAUGGUCUGCUGAUGAGAUCGUGGAAACGGUUUUGAUUAAAUCGGCUUAUAAAUGGUUGCCAAUCUAUAGACAACCUAAAACACCAUAUCUAUUUACCAAAUGUCUUCUUCUCGUGCUCCUCUUAUCUUGAAUAUAAAAGACCAAAUGUGCUUUGUUUUGUGCUUUUUUUCCCCUGUAUGUUCAUUUAACUGCAGAAUUAACAUAUCUACUUUUUCCUUUCCAGGUUCUCUGUUUGAAUUUUAAUUCUGAUGGUAUCUUCUGUGUGUGCCCUGAGAUUACACCAGCUAUUGUUAUUGCUUUGAAAAUGUUUAGACUCUAUACUGUGAAUAUAACUGACUUUCUACUUUGCUAGUAUGAAUCGGGUCUCUAAGGAAACCCAAAACUCUGUUCCUUCCUUAGCAACUUUGGUCAAAUCUCAUAAAAAGCUGGAAGCUGCCUUUUGGGAGUAAUGAUUAUAUUUACAUGUUUGCUGUAGCUCCUAGCAGUCCAUUUUCUGAGGCAGAAUGUGCAACAAAAACAAAAAACAAAACAAAACAAAAAAACAAAUGCAGGAAAAACUGGGGCAGGGGCUGCUCUCCAAUCCCACUCCGUUCUCUCUCCGUUGUACUAUGAAAUGUGAGUGCAAUUUUUUUUUUUUUGGCUCAAAAACUGAGUUGGUGAGAGAAUGCUUGGCAGAAUGCAGUGAGGACAGCUCUCUGUCAGCUCUCAGCUGUCUACAGUCCACAAGACUGUCAUGAUCUCCCUCUGUGGCAUUAAAUGCAGAGACAAUGGCCAACUCACAGGCUAGACCGUCCACACUUUGGGAAGGCUGAUUAGGACUGUAUAUGUGCUUUUCACUCAUCAGUAUUUAACUGAGGCACAGAGAAUUCUGUAAGAUUUAGACUGGCUAGUUUAAAAACCAUACAAUUAUCAUGUCUCAUGUUCUGUAUAGAUAUAAAAGUAAGAACCCCGAGCAAGGAUGUACUCACUUUUCAAGAGAGCCGUUUUCAACAUUCACCACCCCAUCAAUUGAUUCCAGUCCUUGUUCAGAAAACUGUUUCAAGGCACUUAAGGCUGCCUAAAAGGGAAAACAAACGGGGAGAAGCAUUCACUGUUUUUUUACAAAAUGAACAGGUGACUGUAAAGUAAGCCAGGACACACAAGGCUAUCAUUUUCUGUGCUCUUAAGCAAAAUCACAUUUGAAAAUGUGGGUUUCUGUGGAACAAGGCCUAAGUGUGCUGGAUGUGUAUGUAUGAUAGCGUGUGUGUCCACGAGCACGCUUGGGCUCCCGUACCCAGAGCCGCCAGUGCGUUCUGAUCACUGUCAGGGGACGGGAAAAGACCUCAGUGGGGCGCCUUUCCUUUUCCUGAUUCAUAACUUUGCACGAUCACGAAGUUCCAUCUGCAAAUACAGAAGCUUAAAAUGCUCCUUCAGUCAUGACUUGGCCUAAUUCCUCCUCACAUGGUUAAAACUCUGGAUAGUCUCUUCCCUGAAAUGCAAGGACACUGGAUCUCCUACCUUCAGCUCCCUUUUCAAAACGUGGCUCCAACCAAGCCACCGAACGGGGAGCAGGCAUCAGGCACAGACUGCAGGUACCCUGACAGGAGAGGGAAAGUCAGGCUCCCAGCUCAUGUGGGCUCUGGGGAGGCAAUACUGUCUCAGCAGAGCUUCAGGAGCCAUAGAGAGGCCUGCGCGCAGGCGUGGAGAGGACCACGCAGGCGUGGGAUGCUGUAGGUGCUGACAGGCUGGUGGAGCCUGGCUGGAUGGCUGGGAGGCACCAAAAAUGCAAUGCUGAUAAGAUCUACAUAACUUGUUGACACUCUUGUGCAUGUUCCAAAUUGUUAAUUCUUUGAGUAAGAAUUUGGUUCCUUUCCCCCUCCCCCACUGCCCUUCCUAAGCCCCAUUAGAAGGGUUUUGUUGAGUCUGGGAUAGGUGUCAGCAGUCCGGGAUGUCUGAACCUUGGCGAGGCCUGCUGCUUCUCACUUGGGGCAUCUGGGUUUUCUCAGCAGCCUUUGAAAAAGGAGCUCGCACAUGAGGUUUCUCAAAUAGCUGACAAGGUAUAUGAGUUCUUUGAAAUUUCUUUAUGUAGAAAUUAUUUUGGAUGGGUUAAUUUUUAAAUUAAUGGACUGGGUUUUGAGGAGUUAAAACCGAGCAGGUAACCUACACAGGUAACCAACUCCUCCGUCCAUCCCUGCUACCUGUGAUGUCUUACAUUGCUGUGGGGUGUCUGCUGUAAUUGAUCAGCAAAAUCAAUGUAUCAGCUUAAGUUCAAAUUGGGAAAUCCUUAUUAGGAUUCCUCUUUGUUUCAUUCUACUUUUUGUGAUAGAGGAUCAUGUAGACUAGGCUAGUCUCAAAGACUACGUAUAUAGCCAAAGACGAGUUUGAAAUUCUGGUUUUUGUUGCCUAUACUUAACAGUGCUGGCAUUACAGGUGAGCAUGCACCCCUCUGGCUGCUUUUCUGAAUGUUGACAAAUGCAUAAGAACAUGUGCUCACCAGUACAAUAUUAUAUUGGGAAGUUACACACUGUUCUAAAAAUCCCAAGACCUGCCCGUUUAUUCCUGUCUCCCUCCCAAUCUCUGACAGCUCCUUUUUUUUCCUGCCUCAAUAAUGUCACCUUUUCCAGAAUAUCAUGGGGUUGAAAUGCUCUAUUCUGUACCCUGUUUCAGGCUUUUUGAUGUCUUUUCAAUGUUCACUUCUCUUCAUAGCUGGAUAAUAUUCCUCUGCAUGCGUUCGUCACAGUUUACUUUACCCCUUCACUCUGGAGAUUAUUUCCAGUUCGGGAGGAUUGUGAAUAAAAUUGCUGUAAAUGUCUGUGAAGGUUAUAACACUAGAAAUUUAAUUUUAACUUCAUAUUAAAGAACUUAAAUAUUUAUCUCCCUUUUUUUUUUUUUUUUUUUUUUGGUUCUUUUUUUUUCGGAGCUGGGGAUCGAACCCAGGGCCUUGUGCUUCCCAGGUAAGCGCUCUACCACUGAGCUAAAUCCCAAGCCCCUAUCUCCCUUCUUUUUAGUCUGCCCUGUUUUGUUUUGUAAGUCACAUUGGUUGUAAUGCAACCAAAACAGGCAGUUUUCCAUUCCAACAAAAGUGUUCAGGAGCCUCUGGUUUGUAAGCCUUUCCAUAUGGGUCAGCCUCUCUUCUGGCAAGCAGUCCGGUUAAUUUUUUUUUUUUUUUGAUGUUGCAGCUUCAAGGCCCCAUCUUAUCUAGAGUUGGUUCUUCCUCAUUUACUUUCCCUAUCUCUUAUGGAAUAAGCGACAUGUGGCUGCUUUCAAAACUUAAGCUCACGCUUUACAGACUCAGAUUUAGACAGUUCUUUACAUGCUCCUGUAAUGGAGAGAUCUACACAGGGAUCUGACAGCCAUUUCAAUUGGACUAGGAGACCUGGGGCACCCCAUGUGGUCCUGAUGACCUGGUUGGCUGUGCUGAGCACAGUCUUGUGGGUGCAUGUCCUGCCCUCAGCUUGUUCCAUUACUGUGAGCUUCCCCAUGUCUCCUGCAGGCAUAAAGGGCACAGAGAGCCAGGCCCACACUGCCACACUCCAAAGACUUUAAAAGACUUUGUGCAUUGAUCUGAUGAAUGCAGAGGCCUUUGUAGCUAUAAGACUUUUGAACAAAUGAUCAGAUCCCUUGCUCAGAUCUCUUAAUAAGGCAGAUUACUAUCAAGAGUGCUCAUUUUAUCAUUCCUACACAUGGAUGGCAGACAAUCCAUCACAUGCCAGGGAAUUUUAAGGUGCAGUGUGAUCUUGCUACCUGAAACUCCUAAGAGUGCCUGGCCUCUUGGUCCUGCUCUACUCGCAAGACCAGCACAACAUACAAAUACGAAUUUUUAUACUUUUGGUUAGUGUCAGGAAUAAACCCUGGUCCUCACUAUGCUAGCCACGCGUUCUACCCAACUCGCAUGAAAAACGUCAUGUACAGGCUACCUACAGCCUGUUUUCAGUAUUUGUUCUGGUAACACUGACUCGGUAUAGUCUGAGCCGAGGAGCCACAUUACCUGCUUCUCUAAGGCCAGAACCAAGGCAUCUACCUCUCACCAGAAGAGAGGUACAGGGGAGAUGAAGGCCAGGGCUUGGAGAGCAGGGGUAGUGUUUUAGCACUCGCAAAAUCUUCCAGAUGAUGCUAUCCUUGUGUCAUUUAGGUCUACAGCAACCUGUCGUCACUUCAGGAAUGCCCUGCAGGCUGGAGUGGCAGCGUGCUCUCUCGAUCCACGCCACCAACGGUCUUUCAGAGCUCUUGCGUGACUGCCUCUCUACACAGGAUUAACUAAUGCUGGGAAAGCACCUAUUAUCCCACAAAGGAACCAGAAGGAUGCUUCUUUUUCUGCUGGCUACUGAUGGGGGUGUCCAAAAGGAAGACUCUGGAGACCAGCCUUGGGUCUUCGCCAGUGAUGUUCAGAGAUAAGUUAAAUUCUCUAACUUGUAAAUAUUUCUCUUCAAAUUGGAAACUUUGUGGCUAGCGAUUCAGAGGCAGAAUGCUGUGUGUAAGAUCAAACAUUGUAAAGAGAAGAAAAUUUGUAACGCAAAUGAACUGUCUUGGCCUGUGACAAACAGGCUUCAGAUCCAUAUACACACAUAUCGUCACAGUGCCAUAAACUCAAAAGGCAUUUAAUAAGAAGUUAUUGCAUGAAUUAAACUUUGUGUUAUCUUUUACUCUGGAUUUCUCUUAUUUGAAUAGUUACUGAAACAGGAGAAUAACCUGCUACUGUGUAAUCUCAAAGGAAACAACAGCAGAGAUGACUAAUCUCCCAGUUAGCAGGAAGAGCUGCAACAACACAGUUUGAGGUGCUAAGCAACUACCUUGAAGGAGAAGCUUAACUGCAAGCAGACACAGGCACGCAGUGAAAUUUGCCAGAUGCCUCACUUAGCAUAGAAUACCACGACAGGCACCUGAAGGUGCUUUAUAGCAGCUUUGCUGAAUAUAUGCUAUUACUCUAUUGAAGUGAUCAAAGUUUAACUCCUUCAAGGCAGUGAGCCAAGGCUCACUUCCUGGGUAACACAGAAGCCUCUGUUGAGAGUUCUGCCAUCUACAUAAAUGGAGGAGUCUAGAGUGAAAAAAAAUUAAUGAGACAGGGCUUCUUUUCAUAAAACUAACCUAAAUGAUGGGUAACAAUUUUAAAGUUACUUAAUCAAGGAACAAACAAACAUACUGCCUCUUGUUUGAAAAGCAACGAGUAUCCCUAAAUUUUUUCUCUUGAACACAGGCACAUUGAAUUACUAGCAAUUGAAUGAUGUAUAACGACUAGCUGCCUUUUUAAAUUAAAAUGUUAAGCUGAAACUAUUCAAGCAUUGAGCCUGUAGAAACUGUGUGCUGGCUGGACUUGAGUCCGCACCCUCAAGCUUGAAGUGUUCAGGGGAGUUGUUGCUAUCUCAGCAACACAGUUUGCAUCAGAACAAAAGCAUAGCUUGCUGCCCUUCAGAGACAGCCAGAAACAAAAGAACAAUGCAGAGGACAUAUACAGAGAAAGGACAGGAAAAGGCUAGUGGUGCUAACAUGAAAAGAAGAGCAUUGUUUGUCGGCCCCUACAGCCUCUGCCUCGUAUAUUUCCAAAGCUCCAAUUUGUUACAGGCUGUUUCUUUUUGAAAGCAUAUUUUCAGACCCUCCAGAAACUUUUUAUAUUCAUAAAAGCCCAGGUGGGAGGCAGCUGACAGAACUAGAUUAGAAAUAACUUCUGAGAGCCACUCUGUGUGAGUUAAAGCAGGGUCUUCCAUAACACCUACGGACCUUGGGACAAAAGUGAGGAUGAUGUCAGUAGUUUUCUCUUCAGCAUUCCCUGUAAAACAAUGCUUAGUAGCAAAGCAAAGUAUGAUGUUUUAGGAUUGUGUGCGUUCAUUUGAUGGCUUAGAAAUUGGUUGUAGUGGUUUGUGUUUUCACAUCCCUGUGGACUCCUGAUGGCCUCCUGGUGAAGCAGACUUCCCCGCAUGUUCACGCAUGUGAAUCAAGGGCUGCCAGGGCUCUGCAGUCAUCCUUUUCCUUCCUGCACAUUACAGAAGCCAGGGACAGGCAGCAUGGUUGCCUUAGUCCCAGUGGCUAGCUAGCAUUUGCCUUUUACAAAGUGGUGGCAGUAAAGAUUGCUGUGACCUCACAGGGUGAAAGCCGGGUUGCCUCUGUCUCUCCCGAAGCUUACUUUUGCCACCUAGUGGGGGAGGCCUUUUCAGGGUCAGGUUUUGUGUUCUGUGUGAGAUUGAGUUCAGAUAAGAAAAUGAUUAAAGACUUUCUCCUUUUUUAUAAUACCUUAAGUGAUUUCUCUAAAGUGCCCUGUCCUGUGUCUACUGAAAAAACGAAACAAAACAAAAACUACAACGAAUAGCUUAGAAAAUUCAGGGUAAUUUUUUGUUGUGGUUGUUACUUGUAACUUUCAAGGAAAAAUGGUCCUUUCCUUGUUUCUAUUCUCAAUUUCCUUAGCUAGUAUGCCUUACAGGCUGACGGUCUAGCUUACUCAUUUCUAAUUCUGAAGGGAGAAGUCCAAGUCUACACCAUUAUCUGUAGUUUCUCUCCCUAGAUCUCAUGACAAAUUUCCAGUUACCCACAUUUCAUGUGACAGAAAUCAAUGUCAGCAUUCGAAAUAAACCAAGUGGCCAUGUCACCCCAUACCAGUAUGCCAGCCAAGUCAGAGAGAGAGUGGAGCUUGAGUCUAAAAUGCAAGGGUGAUUUUAUUUUGAUUAAAUAUGCAAAAACUAAUGGAACAAGGAAUGGGCAGUGCAGGAGUCAAUGGCCUAGAACUGGGUAGAGUAGUAACCGCAGGAACUGAAGUCAGGACCUGAGGCAGACCAGGCAAGGCCAGUAGAACUAGCAAGGGGAGGUGAGUGAGGGACCCAGGGAUGAGGUUAUGCCUCAGCUGAGAGGCCCAAGGGGACCUCCUUGCGGCAAACCCAUGGUGAUGUCUGCUCUUUCCUUUAACAUUUGUCUGCUGGGAGGUUCUUAAUGUAUGUUAGACAAAUAAAUAAAUGACUGCUCAUCGGCACCGGGUCAUGAGGGCUUCACAGUGGAGGCUGACGCUGCCAUCUUUAAACAGCCUUGUGUGGUUGUUAUAUGUGAUACAGCCUCUCUCUGCACAGUUCUACUAAGGCUGCACAACUACCACACUCUACUCUGAGGACACCUCAGUCAUUGUGAAAGUCUCCUCUAGGCCUAGUCCUAGCCCAAGGCAGUUACGAUCUGGAUAAUUUUAGGUCUUACAUUUAAAUCUACUACCUAUUUUGAGGGUUUUUUUUGCACAUGGUAUUAGGCAAUGGACUAAAUUCCUAAUUUUCAAAUGGGUACUAGAUUUUUCUAGUGCGGUUUAUCAGAACUUCUGUGCCCACUGAGUUACCAGAAGGUUGCUUUCGGACUCUCAGUUCUAUCCCACCUGACAUAGGCGUCAACUAGACUGCUGGAGUUCUGGAACAUUUGAAAUGGAAUACUAUAACUCUUCCAACUUUAUUCUUCUUCAGAAGGGUUUUAACCUUCGCUGAGCCCUUUACAUUUCUAUAAAUUCCAGGAUCAGCUUGACAGCCUGUACCCAAUAAAGCCAUCUAGGAUUUUGUAGGGUUUGUACUAAAUGUGUAAAUGUGGGGAAAUGUGCCAGCCGAAGAGUAAGAAAUGUUCUAAUCUAUGGCUCUCAAAGCCUGCCGUUUACUUAGAGAUCUAACCCCACCCAGCCAUGGCUUUCUUUCCCACAGACAGCCUGUGCCUCCUUGUUGAUUCCCAUGUGCUGCUGUGUGCUUUUGAGGCUUACAUAUCCGUGUGUGGGCUUCAUCAUGGCUGUGAGAUCACAGGCCUCACUACCAAAUAUGAGUGUCUUCCUAAUGCAGGAUCCUGUCAACUGCUCGCAAGAGAGGUCUGUCCCUACUUUUCUAAGUCACGAGCUUUUACUUCUCUCCUUCCUCAUGCUCUCUAUCUCUGCCAUACCACAUUGGCGAUAGUCAUAAAGGUGAUGUUAUAGAGUAAGUCCUACUUUGUGCUCACUGCUAGGAGGGAAACCCUGUUUGCCCCAGGAAGACAACACUACUCAGGGGUUUUGUUCUUUAUCCAGUUAAAGGAAUUCUUCCAUAUUUUGAGAUAUGCAGUUCUUUAGAAAUAAACAAUGUUUAGUUAUUAAUAAGAAAUGAAUGUUAAGCUCAGCCCGUGUUUCUCGAGGGGUUAACCUCCUGUAUAGGCACAGUGGUUGAUUUCCUGAUGUUAACCCAACCUGGACAAGGGCGUUUAAUGGUUCUCAGGUCUCUCAAUUCUGCACUACUUGUUUGGAGACAGGGUUUUUGGUAUGUACCCCAAGCAGACCUUAGGUGGCCAUCCCCCUGCCUCUUCCUGCUGAGUGCUGCGACUGCGGGUGGACACAGAGCCUGCUUGGGCUCUGCUUGCUUUUCAUGCCCCUCUCUGUGCUGCCCACUGGUGCUUUCUUCUCCCAUCUUCAGCCUGGUACUCACUGUCGUGAAUUUUUAUUUCAGUUUUUAUACUUUUUAACUCUAGAUUUUUUUUGUCCUAGAUUUAAUACUCUAGAUAAGUUCUCUGUAUUGAGAUUCUCUGUUUAUUGAGUCAUUAGUGUGAGCUACAUUUUAAUUCUUACAACAUGACUUCCUUUAAUUCCUAGAGCAUGUUUACUGUAACUGCUUUGAAGUCCUUGCCUGCUAAGACCAACAUCUGGGCCUACUCACAAACGUUUCCACUGACAGGAGGGGUCAGAUGUCCUGUUCUAUCACCUUCCACUUACUGCUUUGGGGCUGGGCAUCUCACUGACCCUGGAGGUGGGGAUGGAUCUCGUAAUCCCCAGAGAUCCUCUUGUCUCUGGCCCUUACCUCUACCCAUCUUGCUGGAGCUACAGGCAGGCAUGGGUGUGCAUGGCUUUCUAGAAGGGUACUGGGGACAUGGGCAGCAAAUGUUCUUAUCCACUGAGCAUCUCACUGGCUGAGUCAGUCCCCCCCUCUCACUAUGUGUAUAUUAUAUAUAAUAAUAUACUUUGGCUUUAUAUAUUAACAUACAAGAUAGAUAUAUUUUACUGAAAAUUUAAUAUAAUAUGGAGUACAAAUCUGUCUUUUAAUGCUGUCCUCCAGGCUGCUGUUCCUGCUACAGUUAGGAUGUUCACUGAUUUUCUUAUGCUAAAUCUUCCAGAACUAUUUUCUCCACAGUACAAGGCUGCUUGGAUCUCGACUUAGUCACCAGGAUCGACCUGUUUACAAGGCUAAAGAAAGCAAAGGACUGAUUACUGCCCGAGCUUCGACACCUAAGCCAGAGAGGGUUUCAUGCUCUGCCAACAAUCUGGGCUCCACUUGGGGACCACAUUAAGUCGUCUUCAGCUCUUCCCUGGCACCGACUUUCCCUGUCUUCUCUACAUUUGUACAGCACUUCCCAGUCACCAGGUCUGCAACUAGCUUGAGCCUUCUCUGCUCGUCCCUGCAUGAAUACGAAGCCAUUUGGUCAACUGGGAGUAUGCAGAAAGUUUACAAGGUCCCUGGCACUACGCCACUUCUCGAAUCUCCCCGAUAAAUCAUCAGCCAGGUUAUUGGUCCCAACCCACACUGAAAACGCAGACCCUCUUGGCCAUUAGAGUGCCGACCACUAAAGUGCCAGUGCCUGUGAGGGACUUCACAUUCACUUCUUCAGAGAAACUGGUUUUCACAGCUUUUCUCCAGGCUGGCAAAGCACUGUGCCCAGUCUGGAGGCAGAACAUCACCAGUCUGCAAUGCCGCAGAAUCGACCUUUCUUACCCAAAGGACACUUGCACUGAGGAGAUGCUCCACCACUUGCUAAGUGCCUUUUCUACUAUUUUCAAUGGUCUUAAUAGUGCUUUUUGACAACUUUGUUCAGUUAUUGCUUUUUUAUAUUUUUAAAGUUUACUUUAUUCUUUUUUCUUUUAUUGUCCUGUUGCUUUCUUGAAAGAUCUGCCCAGAUCUCUUCCCUUUUGGGGCUUUAAAGCCCAUUCAAGUUAUUUUCCAUCCUCUCAGACUUAAUGGCUCACAAGAGCCCUCCAGCGCUUUCUCCCACGUUGCUCUGGGAAAUUCCCUCCCAGCUCUCCUUCUUCUCAGUCACGCCCACCAACGAAACCAGCACCUUCCUUCCCUGUGUGUCUGCCAGUCCAGCCUGAACUAUGGCCACCAUCUUAGCAUAUCCCUUGUUCCUAGAUUAAGACUGCUUGCCCUAAAGAAUAAAAUGUCCGCAGUUCAGUCCUGCAUUCAUUUCUACAUUCAGCUGCCGUGAUCUCAAACGUCACGUGACCUGGGAGCUCCCAUCAAACACGGUCUCUGACCCCUUCAUGGUUUUGUUUGUGCUAAUUUCCGUACUUCUAUCACUCUUAUUUUUUUUAAAAAAGAUUUAUUUAUUUUAUGUAUAUAAGUAGCUGUCUUCAGACACACCAGAAGAGGGCAUCAGAUCCCAUUACAGAUGGUUGUGAGCCACCAUGUGGUUGCUGGGAUUUGAACGUAGGACCUCUGGAAGAGCAGUCAGUGCCCUUAACCACCUCUCCAUUCCUCUACCUUCUCUUAUAUUGUUCCUACACAUGGAUUUUCAUACUUCUUCCAAUAGCUGGUCUGUCAAUUCCUACAAGAAGCUUUAUUAAAUGGGUGACUUCUCCCCUAACCACAGUGUAAUCUAUAGCCCUCUAACACUUACGUCUUUACAGUUUGUGAGUUGCUUUGAAGUUAGUCCCAGUGAUUUUCUGUAUGUACUUUGCUGUUUUUCCAUGUUUUUCUUUUUAGAGACUUUUCAGAGUAAUUUUAGGUUCAUAGGAAAAUUGAGCAAGGUUCCCACAUAACACAUAUUUAACUUUAUAAUUAGUUUGGGAGCUUUCUUUUUCGAGAAAUUGGAAAUAUUUCAUAGACUUUAGAAUAGUAAUGUAUACACAGCUGGGGCCUGAAGACUCACAAUUGCUAAGUGAACAAAGAAAAACAUCAUCAAAGUCACUUUGGAGCUUCUUCCCAUGAGAUUUAACUCUUGCAUUUACCAUUGAAAUCAUGAUUGAUCUUACAAGUAAUUAGCAUGGCAUUAAAAAAAAUCAACCAAUGGAUAUUAAGGGCUGGACAGCUGGCUCACUGGUUAAGAGCACUGGCUGCUCUUCCAGAGGUCCUGUGUUCAGUUCCCAGCAACCACAUGGUGGCUCACAACCAUCUGUACUGGGAUCCGAUGUCCUCUUCUGGUGUGUCUGAAGACAGCGACAGUGUGCUCACAUAUAUGAAAUAAAUAAACCUUAAAAAAAAAAAACCUGGAUACAAUUCUGAAAACUGCUGGGCCAACUCAUGACCCAAUAGUUCCUUGACAGUUUGAGGUCCAAGAGGUUCAGGACAUGAUGGCAAUGAGGGGAAACUAAGGCAGCAGCUAUCUGCUCAGGGGUGGGAGCACUGAGGUAUCUAGAAAUCAAAGUAUUAUCUCGGUCAGCAAAGAAACUACUGGUGUUCUCAGGACUUUAUAACAGGUGGAGAAUGUAGCACCUAUCAAAUAAACUGUCAGUCUGAAAGGUUUGGAGGAGAGAUAUGGGAAUGAUCUCUGAAAUGUCCGGCAUAGACAAACAGCAAAGGGUCAAAGGCAAAUGGCAUAUGAGGAGUAUAAGAUCAGGUGAGCCAAACCAACAAGGGCUGGCCCUCGAGAUGUGACUGAGGUCCAGGUAGGGUACUGCCCAAAGACAUAGGAUGUAAAUUAUAGGCUAGAUUCCCAUCAAAGCAUCUCUAGGAGGCAAAUCCACCAAGAAAUGCACAUGUAGUGCCAGACAACCUCCUCCUCCCCAUUUGGUGGGCAGUGAUCCACAAAAGGGCAGUCUUUUCAGAAGAAAGCAAGCUUGUUAGUUAGCAGGUUAGGCUUUUAGGUUAGGAAAGUUGGGACUGGAGAGAUGGCUCAGUGGUUAAGAGCCUGGAUGCUCUUCCAGAGGUCCUGAGUUCAAUUCCCAGCAACCACAUGGUGGCUCACAACCAUCUGUAAUAUAAGCUGGUGUUCUCAUCUGGCCUGCAGGCAUACAUGCAGGCAGAACAGUGUAUACAUAAUAAAUAAAUAAAUCAGGGGUUGGGGAUUUAGCUCAGUGGUAGAGUGCUUGCCUAGGAAACGCAAGGCCCUGGGUUCGGUCCCCAGCUCCGAAAAAAAAGAACCUAAAUAAAUAAAUAAAUAAAUAAAUAAAUAAAUAAA